rnacentral:lncRNA from 1 species
UAAACCCUAGAAGCUAGCCUAUGAUUAUGAUUGUUGUUGUCCUACGGACUAAACCCUCUGGUUUAUAUAGACACCGGAGGGGCUAGGGUUACACAGAGUCGGUUACAAAGAAGGAAAUCUACAUAUCCGAAUCGCCAAGCUUGCCUUCCACGCAAAGGAGAGUCCCACCUGGACACGGGAUGAAGUCUUCAAUCUUGUAUCUUCAUAGUCCAACAGUCUGGCACAAGUACAUAGUCCGGCUAUCCGGGGACCCCCUAAUCUAGGACUCCCUCAGUAGCCCAUGAACCAGGCUUCAAUGACGAUGAGUCCAGCGCGUAGAUUGUUUUCGGCAUUGCAAGGCGGGUUCCUCCUUUGACUAUUCCAAGGUAGAUUUUGAACACAUGAAUCGUGUCCGGCUCUGCAAAAUAAAUUCCACGUACCACCGUGGAGAGCACAAUAUUCCACAAAUCUAAUCUGCUGACAACUUUUCGUAGCGUGACAUCACGCCGCAGCCCGGUCAUUAUACAAACCAUUUUUCCCAACCUGCUACUGCACGUAUUGCAAGGCGUAUUUAUUGGCACGUCUUGUCGAAGCAGAGAUCAUGUUCCUCUUAUCAUGGGAUUCUCAUCAAUACGGGCAUGGGUAACCCAACCGUGCCUAUUAGUAUGACUCCUUGAUUUUAAGCAAGUUCCAAACGGCCACACGGAGGACGCUUGAUAUUCACCCUCUUUAUAAAGUGGUCCAGACCUAUCCUUUUCUUUCCACGCCCAAUCCCUCCCUUCCCCUAACUCGAGUUCCAACACCCAAGGUUUGGGUUAAGCGCUUCGGAUCUUCAACCAUGUCCAGAUCCAACCUUCAAGGCCGGUGGAUGGCCUCUUCUGUUACAGAGGAGGACAUCAAGAAGCUUAGGGAGGCUAGGUAUCUGACCGCCGAAAUCCCCCACAAGCUACCUGCCCAAGGGCAGGUUAUCCCCACUCCCGAACCCAACGAGAGUGUGGUAUUUGUUUCCCACUUCCUCCAAGGGCUAGGCUUUAGUCUUGAUCCCUUCGUAAGAGGGCUCAUGUACUAUGACGGGCUAGAUUUCCAUGAUCUAGCUCCAGAUUCCAUCCUUCACAUCUCGUCGUUUAUCGUCGUGUCUGAGGCCUUCCUUUGCAUUACCCCACACUUCGGCUUAUGGCUCAAGACCUUCAAUGUGAAGCCGAAUGUCAGUGUACAAAAGUAGGGGCUCUCCUUUUGACCCCUUUACUUGUGCACGGGCAGUCAGAGCCACCCGCCACGGCCAUGCAUAACAGGGCAGGAAAGGGAAGCCGGAGAGAAGACGAAGGCACAAGGCAAACAAAGCAACGACUAGGACCAAGGCCACAAAGAUCAGAUGGACGAAGCAGGUUUCCCUGGCAAAGACCCUUGACGGGACAGCCUCAGCGGCCCCGGCAACACCCUUGCUGGGGCAGCUCGCCCACACCAACUAAGUGAGCCACCUUUGAGCCCACCAACGCUAGACAAACGCAUUGGGACAGGGCUCGGGAGGCACCUCCGUGGUGGCAUGCAGAUCUUUGUGAAGACAAAGAAUAGUCAAGAUCAAAUGAGGAUAAGAAGGCAACAAUCCUCGGCAGGGUUCUUACCGAGGAAGCCCGCGAGACCCCCGGAAAGGUCCUUGCAGGGGAUGACGGCAUGCCGCCACAAGAAACCUUCGGAAAUCGUGUACCUCAACCUUCGAAAAGCAUCCGUUAUAUGAGUUAUGGCAAUACUCCCGAGCUCGCCCCAGUACUGGGUUAUCGGGGUUAUCUCACCAACAACUGCAUAAAAGAGAUUUUCGAUGUCGGCAAAACUCAGGUAUUCCAGAACUGCAACGAUAAAAUUGUGACGACAACACCUCGGAUCUCAACUCCCCGGGACACUGCCACAACCCCUAAAUGUCAGGAGGCACCAAGAACAAUGUUCUCGUCACAAAACCAUCGGAACGAUUCCAAGAUACCCGCGUGAUCCUAAAAAACUUUUAGUGAAAUUCGAGAAGAGGAAAGUCAAAACAUCUACGUCAGGAGACCUCACCAGAGCGACGAAGGGACUGAGGAGUAAAAAGAAUCCUACUCUCCGAUAUAUAUAAUCCUAAGACUCAAAACAUUUUUUGUUCUAGACUCAACAUCGCCAGCAAACAAUCAAGCAGGGGCUCCUAAGUCGGGGAUGGCUCUGAUACCAACUUAUUACACCCACGAUGCGGCUAUAUCUCCCACGUGUCGAAGCACGACUUAGAGGCAUAACCGCAUGGUGGUUUUGUCGCAAGAAGGGUCAUCUUCACACAAUCCCACGUAAUGAACAAGAAUGGGAUAAAGAGAGUUUGCUUACAAUCGCCACUUCACACAAUACAUAAUUUAGAUCAUACAUCAUUCAAAUACACUCAUAGACCGACUACGGUCAAGUUCAAAUGAAAAGAAGACAGCCCCAAAUGCUAGAUCCCCGAUCGUCCCGACUGGGCACCUCUACUGAUCAUCUGGAAACGAUACAUAGUAACGACCAAGGGCCUCAUCAAAUUCCCACUUCAGCUCAGUUGCGCCAUCUGCGCCAGUAUCCUCGGCACCUGCAUCUGUUUUGGUAGAAUCUGCGAGUCACGAGGACUAAGCAAUCUCACACCCGCGAGGUCAAGACUAUUUAAGCUCAUAGGUAGGCAAAGGGGUAAUAUGGUGGAGCUGCAACGAGCACUAAGCAUAUAUGGUGGCUAACAUACGCAAGUGAGAGCGAGAAGAGAAGCAACGCAUCGGUCGAGAAGCUAGAAAUGAUCAAGAAGUGAUCCUGAAACUACUUACGUCAAGCAUAACUCAAACCGUGUUCACUUCCCGGACUCUGCCGAGAAGAGACCAUCACGGCUACACACGCGGUUGAUGCAUUUUAAAGAGGUCAAGUGUCAAGUUAUCUACAACCGGACAUUAACAAAUUCCCAUCUGCCUCAUAACCGCGGGCACGGCUUUUGAAAGAUUAUAUACCCUGCAGGGGUGUCCCAACUUAGCCCAUCACAAGCUCUCACAGUCAAUGAAGGAAUAUACCUUCUCUCGGGAAGACCCGAUCAGUCUCGAAAUCCCGGUUCGCAAAACAUUUCGACAAUGGUAAAACAAGACCAGCAAAGCCGCCUGAAGUGCCGACAAAUCCCGAUAGGAGCUGCACAUAUCUCGUUCUCAGGGCACACCGGAUGAGUCAAGCUACGAGUAAAACCAACCCUCAAGUUGCCCCGAGGUGGCCCCGCAGGCUGCUCAGUUUGGACCAACACUCGAAGGAGCACUGGCCCGGGGGGGGUUAAAAUAAAGAUGACCCUUGGGCUCGCGAAAACCCAAGGGAAAAGGGCUUAGGUGGCAAAUGGUAAAACCAAGUUUGGGCCUUGCUGGAGGAGUUUUAUUCAAAGCGAACUGUUAAGGGGGUCCCAUAAAUCACCCAACCGUGUAAGGAACGCAAAAUCAAGGAACAUAACACCGGUAUGACGGAAACUAGGGCGGCAAGAGUGGAACAAGUCACCAGGCAUAAGGCCGAGCCUUCCACCCUUUACCAAGUAUAGAAGGUGCAUUAAUGUAAACAGGAGAUAUUGUGAUAUCCCAAAAUAACCAUGUUCCGACGAGGAACAAACUUCAUCUUCACCUGCAACUAACAACGCUAUAAGAGGGGCUGAGAAAAAGCGGUGACAUAGCCAAUCAACGGUUGCUAGGACAGGAUGGUUAGAGGUUUAACAUGGCAAUAGGAAGGCAUGGUAAUCAAAGGCAGGUAGGGCUAACAUAGCGAAAGAGCGAGUACUAGCAAGCAAAGAUAGAAGUGAUAUCGAGGGUAUGGUCAUCUUGCCUGCAAGGUUCUCAGAGUUGUCGAAGGCUGGAUCCUCGUAAGCGUACUCAACAGGCUCCUCGUGCACGUACUCGUCUCCCGGCUCUACCCAAAGCAAGAACACAAGCAAGGAACCACAAUAAAUCACGGUGCAAUGCACAAGCAACAUGAUGCAAUACAUGUCAUGAUAUGCGAGAUGUGUUAUGCAAUGCAUAUGCGUGCUUCAGAAGGAAAUAUGAUGAACAAGGCAUCAACUUGGCAAACCAAGUAUGCCGCUGGAAAGAUGAGACGAUUUCGGUUGAAAUCGAUAUAAAGAUCACCGGAUUCGGAUGCACGGUUUGCAAAUGACAAGCAAGACAAGUAUGGCACAACGCUGCGAUUAACAGCACGAAGCUACUUAGCAUGAAACAAGAAACUAUGCUACAACACCCCAACAUAAAAACAAAGCAUAUGGCAAUGAUCUACAGGAGAUGCUUUACAAAAGAGGAACACUGAGCUACGGCUAAAUCACAUCAUAACAGGUUCAAACAAGCAUGGAGAAAGUGCAAAAAAUAUCAGGUUGGACAUGGCAUAAACAACAUCACGAAGCAAUGUUCAGAGCAGGUUAUCAACAUGUUACAGGAACUUAUAAUAGCCAAACAAGACAUGGCAUGAAUCUACUCAAAGCAUAGAUCAAAAGUCCCUUACUGACCAUAAGCCAAAAAGGAUCAGAAAAUAUGAUGGCACCCUCGUAAACAUAGCAAGUUUCGUUAACAGAUUCAGCAAACAAAGCAUGGCAUUGGCAUAAUUGCGAAGGCACCUUCGUGAGCUCGGUGCACUCACUACAGAGCAUCUCAUGAUAAAUUAAGCAUACAUCCAUCAAGAAUACAUAACAUAGAAGCUAUACAUGGCAAGAAACAACAUCAUAGCAUAUCCGGAUCAACUACAACAACCUCAGCCAAAUUGAAUAACAUGUAAACAAUCUGCCAGGAAACAUUUUGAAGCAGAAGUAGAGCACGAAAAUGACAUGCUAGACUACUCCAUAAUUGCAACCAGGACCAUGGAUGGAUAGAGCAAAACCAUGUUUUCAAAACACCCUUACUGAAGUAUCUCAAAUUAUGCAUGGAUCUCUCUGUAGCAACAUGUUUACAUGGCAUCAAAAUUACAGCAGAACAGGGACUAAAAUCAGCAUUAUCACGAAGCCUAGUUUGCAUGCUUGUGCUAGUCACCACAUUUAUCACAAAAAUACAUGGUAAGCACCUCUGUAAAUAAGACAUAGCCUAGUUCAAAACACAUUUAGGGACCAAGUCCAUAGGAUGCACACAUCAAUCAUGGCAAAAAUGACAAAAGAGCUCGUGCUGAUAAGAUUCUGAAACUAACAUUAUGAAGCCCUCUUACAACAACAUUUCGGGCAUCAAGACGAGCUCAAAGGUAAAUGAUGCAAUGGAAUGAAAUGAUGUACUCUUCGAUACGAACAAUAUGACAUAUUACAUGCACGAAACGGAGCUACGGAUGCGAAGAUGUGAUGCGAUGAAGAUGCAACAAUAAUUAUCAUAGAAAAUGACAGCCGAAAAUCGGGGGGGAGAAGUCAACGACCGGAUCUGGAUCCGGGGCGCGCAAACCGAGGCGAGGCGCGGCUCGCCGGAGAUGGAGGAAGGGGCGGCCGGCGGAGCUCCUCUGGGCCGGAUUCGGCCUUCCCGCGGCCGGAUCUGGCCGGGGCGGCGACGAGGGCGCGGGGCAGCGCGGCGGAGAGGCGGCCGGACGGCGAGGCUGGGCGCGGCAGGGCGGCACAGGUGGNNNNNNNNNNNNNNNNNNNNNNNNNNNNNNNNNNNNNNNNNNNNNNNNNNNNNNNNNNNNNNNNNNNNNNNNNNNNNNNNNNNNNNNNNNNNNNNNNNNNNNNNNNNNNNNNNNNNNNNNNNNNNNNNNNNNNNNNNNNNNNNNNNNNNNNNNNNNNNNNNNNNNNNNNNNNNNNNNNNNNNNNNNNNNNNNNNNNNNNNNNNNNNNNNNNNNNNNNNNNNNNNNNNNNNNNNNNNNNNNNNNNNNNNNNNNNNNNNNNNNNNNNNNNNNNNNNNNNNNNNNNNNNNNNNNNNNNNNNNNNNNNNNNNNNNNNNNNNNNNNNNNNNNNNNNNNNNNNNNNNNNNNNNNNNNNNNNNNNNNNNNNNNNNNNNNNNNNNNNNNNNNNNNGCGCGGGCUCGCCCACGUGGCAGUCCCUGAUUCGCCGGGGCGCGGCGGCGGACGCGUCCGGCUCCGUCCGGACGUGUCCGGCGGCGCGGGGAGGGAUUUUUUUAUGGUUUGCCCGUGAAUUUCGGAGGGGGAGGCAUAUAUAUAGGUAAAGGGAGCUAGGAGUGUCCAAAUGAGGUGCGGUUUUCGCCCACACGAUCGUGAUCGAACGAACGAGAGCAUGGAGGGGAGUUAGAUGGGUUAUUGGGCUGUUUUGGAGGGGUGUUGGGCUGCAACUUAAAAGAGGCCUUGCUGGAUAUGCGGACAACCGUUGGAGUACCAAACGAGCUCCAAAUGACCCGAAACUUGACAGGUGGUCUACCGGUGCUAUACCAGGGCCACUUGGCAAGGCUCGGUCCAUUCUGAGAACGUUUAACAACCGCACACGAAAAGAGACAAGAGGAGUGCGCCGGUGCAUGUGGGAGUGUCAGAUUGCUCGGAUGCAUGAGAUGAACACAUAUGCAAAAUGAAAUGCACAUGAUGACAUGAUAUGAUAUGCAUGACAUGAAUAAGAUGCAAAACAAAAGAGAAAACCCAACGGUGGAGGGAAUAUCAUAUCACAUAGCCGAAAAUGGCAAGAGUUGGAGAUACAAAGAUGGAAAGUUACAUCCGGGGUGUUACAACACUCCACCACUACAAGAGGAUCUCGUCCUGAGAUCUAGGACUGAAAGAACUCCGGAUAUUCAGAACGGAGGUGAUCCUCGCGCUCCCAGGUGGCUUCUCGAUCGGAAUGGUGUGACCACUUCACUUUCAGGAAUUUGAUUGACUUGUUGCGAGUAUUGCGCUCGGUUUCUUCAAGAAUAGAAACCGGGUGCUCAUGAUAAGAGAGAUCUUCUUGAAGGUCGAUCUCUUCGAAGUUGAUAGUGCGCUCAGGAGUCUUGAAGCACUUGCAAAGCUGUGACACGUGAAACACAUCGUGCACAUUCGCAAAGUUGGAUGGAAGCUCAAGUUGAUAGGCGAGGUCGCCUCUUUUGCCAAUGAUCUUGAAAGGACCCACGUAUCUAGGGGCAAGCUUCCCUUUGAUACCGAAGCGACGAGUGCCUUUCAUUGGAGAGACACGGAGGUAGACAUGGUCUUCGAUUUGAAAAGCCAAGUCAUGGUGCUUGCUAUCAUAGUAACUCUUCUGUCGUGAUUGCGUGGCUUUGAGAUUCUCACGAAUGACUUUGCACAUUUCUUAGGCUUCUGUGAUAAAGUCAUUGCCAAGAAGUUGGCGUUCACCUGUCUCGGACCAGUUGAGAGGAGUAUGACACUUUCUGCCAUAGAGAAUUUCGAAUGGGGCCUUGCCCGAACUCGCUUGGAAGCUAUUGUUGUAGGAGAACUCGGCAUAUGGUAGACAAUCUUCCCACUUCAUACCGAAAGAGAUGACACAAGCCCUGAGCAUAUCUUCAAGGAUUUGAUUUACUCGCUCGACUUGGCCAGUUGUUUGAGGAUGGAAAGCUGUGCUGAAACGAAUGUUGGUGCCCAUGGCCUUCUGAAAGGAUUCCCAGAACUUAGAAGUGAAGAUGCUUCCACGAUCUAAACAUAUCAAUUGAGGAAUACCGUGCAAGGAGACAAUUCUGGAGGUGUAUAGCUCUGCCAGCUGAGCUGCUGUGAUAGAUUCUUUGAUAGGAAGAAAAUGAGCCACUUUGGUAAGCUUGUCAAUGACAACGAAGAUAGCAUCAUUUCCACGCUUGGACUUAGGAAAACCAGUCAAGAAGUCCAUCUCGAUAUGGUCAAACUUCCAUUCCAGAAUAACAAGAGGUUGGAGGAGACCAGCUGGUCGUUGGUGUUCUGCUUUCACUCUUCUGCAGACAUCACAUUCAUUCACGAAUUGAGCAAUCUCUCGCUUCAUUCGAGUCCACCAAUAUGACUGCUUGAGGUCAUGGUACAUCUUUGUACUUCCAGGAUGAAUGGAUAGGAGGGAAUUGUGUGCCUCAUUCAUGAUGACUUUUCUCAGAUCACCUUUUGGAACCACAAUUCGAUCCUCGAAGAAAAGAGUAUCUUUGUCAUCCAAGCGAUAGCACUUGUAUUUAGGAAUGCCCUUGUCAAUACCACGUUUCACCUUCUUCACCAUGGUAUCCAGGAGUUGUGCCUCACGAAUUUGAUCUUCCAAAGUAGGAGAGACUAUGAGGUUGGCAAGAAAGCCUUGAGGAACAACUUGAAGAUUCAGCUUGCGGAAGGCUUCACAAAGAUCCGGUUGAAACGGCUUGAGAAUUAGACUGUUGCAAUAAGCCUUUCUGCUCAGAGCAUCUGCAAUCACAUUCGCCUUGCCAGGAGUAUAUUCGAUACUCGGAUUGUACUCUUGAAUCAUUUCGACCCAUCGAGUUUGCCUGAGGUUAAGGUUGGGUUGAGUGAAGAUAUACUUGAGGCUCUUGUGAUCGAUGAAAAUGUCCACUUGCCUUCCCAAUAAGAGAUGUCUCCAUGUUAUCAAUGCAUGGACAACUACCGCCAACUCAAGAUCGUGAGUGGGGUAGUUCUUUUCGUUGGGCUUCAACUGACGAGAGGUAUAGGCCACAACUUUCUUCUCUUGCAUCAACACAGCACCGAGACCUUGAAGGGAAGCAUCACAGAAUACUUCGAAUGGCUUGGAUUCAUCAGGAGGAGUCAAAACAGGAGCUGUGACUAGCUUCUCUUUGAGGGUGUUGAAAGCGACGUCGCACUUAGGCGUCCAGACAUACUUGACAUGCUUCUGGAGGAGGUUGGAAAGAGGCUUUGCAAUCUUUGAGAAGUUCUCAACGAAUCUUCGGCAAUAGCUUGCAAGACCAAGAAAACUGCGGAGCUGUUUGACAUUCUGAGGAGGUUCCCAAUUCACAACUGCAGAAACCUUCGCCGGAUUAACAGCAAUUCCCUUGGCAGAGAUGAUGUGACCAAGAUAAAGAACUUCAUCAAGCCAGAACUCACAUUUGGAAAACUUCGCAUAGAAUUGAUGCUCUCUGAGCUUGUCGAGCACCAAUCGCAAAUGUUUGGCAUGAUCCUGCUUAUUCUUGGAGAAGACCAAAAUAUCAUCGAGAUACACCAAGACGAAUUCAUUGGUGUAGGGGUUGAAGAUAAAGUUCAUCAUGCGAGAGAGAGUUGGAGGAGCAUUGACAAGGCCGAAAGACAUGACAGUAUAUUCAUAAGAACCAAAGCUUGUUCUGAAUGCUAUCUUGGGAAUAUCUUGUUCACGAAUGCGAAUCUGAUGAUAACCCAUACGAAGGUCAAGCUUGGAGAAUACUUUAGCACCUUUGAGUUGCUCGAAAAGCUCGUUGAUGUUGGGAAGUGGAUACUUGUUCUUGAUUGUCUUCUUGUUCAAUGGACGGUAAUCGAUGCAAAGUCGGUCCGUGCCAUCCUUCUUCUGGACAAAAAGAACUCCACAACCCCAUGGGGAAGAACUCGGUCUGAUCAAACCCAGACGCUCUUGUUCAUCGAGCUGCUUCUUCAAUUCCUUCAGCUCCUUGGGUCCAAGCUUGUAUGGGCGCUUGCAAACGGGUUCAGUUCCAGGCUCAAGAUCAAUAACGAACUCGACUGGCCGAUGAGGAGGCAUACCCGGAAGCUCUUCUGGAAAGACAUCUUGGUACUCACAAACGACUGGAAUUUGAGAAAUAGCAUCCAAUUCGCCCUUCUCAUUGAGAGAAAACAACCGAAUGGUUUCAUCACGAGCGGCAUAGAUGAUAACAUCCUCAGAAGGGUGUGUCAAUUGAAUUUGCCUGGCAGCACAAUCAAGCUGAGCCUUGUGCUUAGAAAGCCAGUCCAUCCCAAGAAUUAGAUCAAUAUCAGAGUCACCAAGAACCACUAGAGAAGACAGAAAUUUAUAGUCGCCCAUCUUGAUUGUGGUAUCUGGAACCACCAAACUGGAGCUCAACCGUUUACCCGGAGAAACGACAUCCAUGGGUUUACCCAAAUGUGACGAAGAGAAUUCAUGCUUGGCAAAAAACGGUCUUGACAUGAAACAAUGCGAUGCACCAGUAUCAAAUAAGACUUUAGCAGGAAUAUCAUUAACAGGAAGAUUACCGAUGAUCACAUCUGAAGAAUCCUCUGCCUGAGCUGCAUUCAUCAUGUUCACCUUUGCAGACUUUGGAUUAUGCUUGACCACUGCAUUGCUUGAAGAUCUCACAGGAGGAGGAGGAGGAAGGCGCCUUUGAUUGAUGCAUUUGUUCGCGUAGUGGCCUCUCUGCUAGCACUUGUUGCAAGUCACUUCUGAGAGCGGACGAUGAUAAGGAGCACUUGACCUUGGAGCUUGAGACUGAGACUUGUUCUGAUAGCUUGGGUUGGGUGGGUGGGAAGAUCCACGACCACCUGAGUUCUUCUAUUGGUAAGGCUGACGAAACGGAGGAGGAAGAUAAAACUUCUGCUGCUUAGCUGCCACUUGUGAGGAAGAAGAAGAUUGCACUGCAUCCUUGAUUCUCUUCUUAGAAGCCUCACACUUGAGCUGAGCACCUUCUUGCUUGAGUGCCAUAUUGUAGAAUUGAUCAAACUGAGUAGGCUCAAUAAGAACGAGAGCUAACUGCAGAUCCUCUCUAAGGCCACCUCUGAACUGAUAGAUCAUAGUUUUCUCAUCAGGAACAUCUUGCUUAGCAAAGAGAGCAAGUUUCUGAAACUGCUUGUUGUAUUUGUACACUGACAUGUUGCCUUGCUUGAGAUUGCGGAACUCCUCACGCUUGCUCUCAACAACAUUGGUAGGAAUAUGGUGAGCUUUAAAGUCCCGACAGAAAUCAGUCCAAGUAAUCACUCGACCACCUCUGGAAUCCUUGUAUUGCUGGAACCAAUCAGCUACCUGAUCCUUGAGCUGAAAAGAAGCGAACUUGACAUAGUCUUCAGGCCUGACAUUGCUGCAUUCAAAAUGCUUCUUGAUAUCCACGAGCCAAUCAUCAGUGUCUGUGGCCUCGACACAGUAGCUGAAAGACUUCGGCUGAUUUGCAAGGAAUUGGUUGAGGGUUGGAAACUGAGGCUGAUGAUUGAACUGCCCUUGACCUUGAUUCCCUUGGUUGCCUUGGCCUUGGUUGCGCUCUUGCAUGAGCUGAAUCAUCAUCUGAGCAUGGGCGUUAGAGGCUGCCAUCAAAGCUUGCCAUGCCUCCGGAGGCGGAGGUGGAGGUGGAGGGUUCGCCUGACUCCCAUCAUUGCGUUCCGGAUUCUGACGCGUUGGCGGAGCCAUCCUGAAGAGGGUGACAUCCGUUAGCAUCUUGAUAGACAAAUAGACAAGUUGAAUCAACGGAUAUAAAUUGCAACAUAUAGUCUUCACAAUAAACAUUCGAACAUGGAUGAACGAAUGAAUUCCAAAGUAAACAUCACACGUCCAUUAAGGUGAGAAGCCACGUGAUAAGAGAUUGAUGAAUGAAAUAAACAAGGUACAACUGGAACAAAUAAGUGGUAAGGAUUACCCAAUCACAAACCAAAUAUCUGCGGAAGAAAUGCUAGAGCUACUUGAAUCCCACCUAUAAACUCCCGAAACUUUCCGGUUAUGCAAUCAGGUGUUGGGGAUACAGGGGAAGCAAUAUAUCUCACCCAAACUAACAAUCCCUACAUCCAGCUAUAUCCAUCCGUCAACACAUAACCAAGAAACCUUCGGAAAUCGUGUACCUCAACCUUCGAAAAGCAUCCGUUAUACGAGUUAUGGCAAUACUCCCGAGCUCGCCCCAGUACUGGGUUAUCGGGGUUAUCUCACCAACAACUGCAUAAAAGAGAUUUUCGAUGUCGGCAAAACUCAGGUAUUCCAGAACUGCAACGAUAAAAUUGUGACGACAACACCUCGGAGCUCAACUCCCCGGGACACUGCCACAACCCCUAAAUGUCAGGAGGCACCAAGAACAAUGUUCUCAUCACAAAACCAUCGGAACGAUUCCAAGAUACCCGCGUGAUCCUAAAAUUUUUUUUAGUGAAAUUUGAGAAGAGGAAAGUCAAAACAUCUACGUCAGGAGACCUCACCAGAGCGAUGAAGGGACUGUGGAGUAAAAAGAAUCCUACUCUCCGAUAUAUAUAAUCCUAAGAAUCAAAACAUUUUUUGUUCUAGACUCAACAUCGCCAGCAAACAAUCAAGCAGGGGCUCGUAAGUCGGGGAUGGCUCUGAUACCAACUUAUUACACCCACGAUGUGGCUAUAUCUCCCACGUGUCGAAGCACGACUUAGAGGCAUAACCGCAUGGUGGUUUUGUCGCAAGAAGGGUCAUCUUCACACAAUCCCAUGUAAUGAACAAGAAUGGGAUAGAGAGAGUUGGCUUACAAUCGCCACUUCACACAAUACAUAAUUUAGAUCAUACAUCAUUCAAAUACACUCAUAGACCGACUACGGUCAAGUUCAAAUGAAAAGAAGACAACCCCAAAUGCUAGAUCCCCGAUCGUCCCAACUGGGCACCUCUACUGAUCAUCUGGAAACGAUACAUAGUAACGACCAAGGGCCUCAUCAAAUUCCCACUUCAGCUCAGUUGCGCCAUCUGCACCAGUAUCCUCGGCACCUGCAUCUGUUUUGGUAGAAUGUGUGAGUCAUGAGGACUCAGCAAUCUCACACCCACGAGAUCAAGACUAUUUAAGCUCAUAGGUAGGCAAAGGGGUAAUAUGGUGGAGCUGCAGCGAGCACUAAGCAUAUAUGGUGGCUAACAUACGCAACUGAGAGCGAGAAGAGAAGCAACACAUCGGUCGACAAGCUAGAAGUGAUCAAGAAGUGAUCCUGAAACUACUUACGUCAAGCAUAACUCAAACCGUGUUCACUUCCCGGACUCCGCCGAGAAGAGACCAUCACGGCAACACACGCGCUUGAUGCAUUUUAAAGAGGUCAAGUGUCAAUUUAUCUACAACCGAACAUUAACAAAUUCCCAUCUGCCUCAUAACCGCGGGCACGGAUUUCGAAAGAUUAUAUACCCUGCAGGGGUGUCCCAAGUUAGCCCAUCACAAGCUCUCAUGGUCAACGAAGGAAUAGACCUUCUCCCGGGAAGACCCGAUCAGUCUCGGAAUCCCGGUUCGCAAAACAUUUCGACAAUGGUAAAACAAGACCAACAAAGCCGCCCGAAGUGCCGACAAAUCCCGAUAGGAGCUGCACAUAUCUCGUUCUCAGGGCACACCGGAUGAGUCAAGCUACGAGUAUAACCAACCCUCAAGUUGCCCUGAGGUGGCCCCGCUGGCUGCUCAGUUCGGACCAACACUCGAAGGAGCACUGGCCCGGGGGGGUUAAAAUAAAGAUGACCCUUGGGCUCGCGAAAACCCAAGGGAAAAGGGCUUAGGUGGCAAAUGGUAAAACCAAGUUUGGGCCUUGCUGGAGGAGUUUUAUUCAAAGCGAACUGUUAAGGGGGUCCCAUAAAUCACCCAACCGUGUAAGGAACGCAAAAUCAAGGAACAUAACACCGGUAUGACGGAAAAUAGGGUGGCAAGAGUGGAACAAGUCACCAGGCAUAAGGCCGAUCCUUCCACCCUUUACCAAGUAUAGAAGGUGCAUUAAUGUAAACAGAAGAUAUUGUGAUAUCCCAAAAUAACCAUGUUCCGACCAGGAACAAACUUCAUCUUCACCUGCAACUAACAACGCUAUAAGAGGGGCUGAGAAAAAGCGGUGACAUAGCCAAUCAACGGUUGCUAGGACGGGAUGGUUAGAGGUUUAACAUGGCAAUAGGAAGGCAUGGUAAUCAAAGGCAGGUAGGUCUAACAUAGCGAAAGAGCGAGUACUAGCAAGCAAAGAUAGAAGUGAUAUCGAGGGUAUGGUCAUCUUGCCUGCAAGGUUCUCAGAGUUGUCGAAGGUUGGAUCCUCGUAAGCGUACUCAACAGGUUCCUCGUGCACGUACACGUCUCCCGGCUCUACCCAAAGCAAGAACACAAGCAGGGAACCACAAUAAAUCACGGUGCAAUGCACAAGCAACAUGAUGCAAUACAUGUCAUGAUAUGAGAGAUGUGGUAUGCAAUGCAUAUGCGUCCUUCAAAAGGAAAGAUGAUUAACAAGGCAUCAACUUGACAAACCAAGUAUGCCGCUGGAAAGAUGAGAUGAUUUCGGUUGAAAUCGAUAUAAAGAUCACCGGAUUCGGAUGCACGGUUUGCAAAUGGCAAGCAAGACAAGUAUGGCACAACGAUGCGAUUAACAGCACGAAGCUACUUAGCAUGCAACAAGAAACUAUGCUACAGCACCCCAACAUAAAAACAAAGCAUAUGGCAAUGAUCUACAGGAGAUGCUUUACAAAAGAGGAACACUGAGCUACGGCUAAAUCACAUCAUAACAGGUUCAAACAAGCAUGGAGAAAGUGCAAAAAAUAUCAGGUUGGACAUGGCAUAAACAAUAUCACGAAGCAAUGUUUAGAGCAGGUUAUCAACAUGCUAUAGGAACUUAUAAUAUCCAAACAAGACAUGGCAUGAAUCUACUCAAAGCAUAGAUCAAAAGUCCCUUACUGACCAUAAGCCAAAAAGGAUCAGAAAAUAUGAUGGCACCCUCGUAAACAUAGCAAGUUUCGUUAACAGAUUCAGCAAACAAAUCAUGGCAUUGGCAUAAUUGCGAAGGCACCUUCGUUAGCUCGGUGCACUCACUACAGAGCAUCUCAUGAUAAACUAAGCAUACAUCCAUCAAGAAGACAUGACAUAGAAGCUAUACAUGGCAAGAAACAACAUCAUAGCAUAUCCGGAUCAACUACAACAACCUCGGCCAAAUUGAAUAACAUGUAAACAAUCUGCCAGAAAUCAUUUUGAAGCAGAAGUAGAGCACGAAAAUGACAUGCUAGACUACUCCAUAAUUGCAACCAGGACCAUGGAUGGGUAGAGAAAACCCAUGUUUUCAAAACACCCUUACUGAAGUAUCUCAAAUUAUGCAUGGAUCUCUCUGUAGCAACAUGUUUACAUGGCAUCAAAAUUACAGCAGAACAGGGACUAAAAUCAGCAUUAUCACGAAGCCUAGUUUGCAUGCUUGUGCUAGUCACCACAUUUAUCACAAAAAUAAAUGGUAAGCACCUCUGUAAAGAAGACAUAGCCUAGUUCAAAACACAUUUAGGGACCAAGUCCAUAGGAUGCACACAUCAAUCAUGGCAAAAAUGACAAAAGAGCUCGUGCUGAUAAGAUUCUGAAACUAACAUUAUGAAGCCCUCUUCCAACAGCAUUUCGGGCAUCAAGACGAGCUCAAAUGUAAAUGAUGCAAUGGAAUGAAAUGAUGUACUCUUUGAGGCGAACAAUAUGACAUAUUACAUGCACGAAACGGAGCUACGGAUGCGAAGAUGUGAUGCAAUGAAGAUGCAACAAUAAUUAUCACAGAAAAUGACNNNNNNNNNNNNNNNNNNNNNNNNNNNNNNNNNNNNNNNNNNNNNNNNNNNNNNNNNNNNNNNNNNNNNNNNNNNNNNNNNNNNNNNNNNNNNNNNNNNNNNNNNNNNNNNNNNNNNNNNNNNNNNNNNNNNNNNNNNNNNNNNNNNNNNNNNNNNNNNNNNNNNNNNNNNNNNNNNNNNNNNNNNNNNNNNNNNNNNNNNNNNNNNNNNNNNNNNNNNNNNNNNNNNNNNNNNNNNNNNNNNNNNNNNNNNNNNNNNNNNNNNNNNNNNNNNNNNNNNNNNNNNNNNNNNNNNNNNNNNNNNNNNNNNNNNNNNNNNNNNNNNNNNNNNNNNNNNNNNNNNNNNNNNNNNNNNNNNNNNNNNNNNNNNNNNNNNNNNNNNNNNNNNNNNNNNNNNNNNNNNNNNNNNNNNNNNNNNNNNNNNNNNNNNNNNNNNNNNNNNNNNNNNNNNNNNNNNNNNNNNNNNNNNNNNNNNNNNNNNNNNNNNNNNNNNNNNNNNNNNNNNNNNNNNNNNNNNNNNNNNNNNNNNNNNNNNNNNNNNNNNNNNNNNNNNNNNNNNNNNNNNNNNNNNNNNNNNNNNNNNNNNNNNNNNNNNNNNNNNNNNNNNNNNNNNNNNNNNNNNNNNNNNNNNNNNNNNNNNNNNNNNNNNNNNNNNNNNNNNNNNNNNNNNNNNNNNNNNNNNNNNNNNNNGGCCUCGGGGGCCCGGGGCGGGCUCCGCGGGCCGGCAGUGAUGUGGGCGCGGGCUCACCCACGUGGCAGUCCCUGAUUCGCCGGGGCGCGGCGGCGGACGCGUCCGGCUCCAUCCGGACAUGUCCGGCGGCGCGGGGAAGGAUUUUUUUAGGGUUUGCCCGUGAAUUUCGGAGGGGGAGGCAUAUAUAUAGGUAAAGGGAGCUAGGAGUGUCCAAAUGAGGUGCGGUUUUCGCCCACACGAUCGUGAUCGAAUGACCGAGAGCAUGGAGGGGAGUUAGAUGGGUUAUUGGGCCGUUUUGGAGGGGUGUUGGGCUGCAACUUAAAAGAGGCCUUGCUGGAUAUGCGGACAACCGUUGGAGUACCAAACGAGCUCCAAAUGACCCGAAACUUGACAGGUGGUCUACCGGUGCUAUACCAGGGCCACUUGGCAAGGCUCGGUCCAUUCCGAGAACGUUUAACACCCGCACACGAAAAGAGACAAGAGGGGUGCGCCGGUGCAUGUGGGAGUGUCGGAUUGCGAAACGGACAACGGGGAAAAUGCUCGGAUGCAUGAGAUGAACACGUAUGCAAAAUGAAAUGCACAUGAUGACAUGAUAUGAUAUGCAUGACAUGAAUAAGAUGCAAAACAAAAGAGAAAACCCAACCGCGGAGGGAAUAUCAUAUCACAUAGCCGAAAAUGGCAAGAGUUGGAGAUACAAAGAUGGAAAGUUACAUCCGGGGUGUUACACACGGUGACCUCCAAGACGCCAACACCGGCGCCCACGGCGCGCUCUUCUCAGGUUGUGCGUGAUAAGCAGCAUCACCCUGCUGGUGACCCUGUGCCACCCAGGGAAGACUCGUGCGACCAUCACAUGAUGAGGAGGGCCAGCAUGCGCGCUGAGGUGCUGACGGAGGUGGUGAACGGCUGCGGGGCCAUGACGCAGCUCCUUCUAACAUGGUUAGAAGUCGAGGCGCAUCACGGUCCACCCACCUUUCGCCGCCACCCACGCCAGCGGAAGCCCUAGCACGCGCGCAGCUGCUCCUCGAUUUUCCUCCUGCCGUGGAGAAGCUCGACGAAUGGAGGGCCACCGUCCGGAGCCUCGUCGGCAUCGCCAACAACGAUGAGUUGCGGCCGGCGGGACCCGUAUGUCGUCGCUACGCCGGGCCACCGCAGGCCAGCAAAGGCCAUGCCGGAGGCGAUGCGGCCACGGUGCACUCCCCACCUCCAUCCCGGCCACCCCGGGCGUUGGUCCGUCACGACGACGCUUGUGAUGAUAUCUCCAUCGCGUCGUCCGACCCGCGAACCAACCGCGAUCAGCGUCAAGUCCUUCGGGAGCGGGCUCAUGAGGACGCUCGAACUACCAUCGAGCGCCGACGUGACGCGCACCACCAGUCGGACAGGCGAGUAGGGCCCGCUAUGGACCACCCAGCGCCGGGAGGCUACGGUGGCCUACCCUACGAGGUGGGUUGUCCAGCUUUCACCCGUGAGCUGCGGCAGUUCCAGUGGCCCUCCCAUCGUACGUUCAAGCCUGACGUUGGCGAGAAGUACAACGGCAAGACUCACCCGUCAGAGUUCCUCAGCAUCUACACCAUCAUAAUUCAAGCUGCUGGGGCCCGCGACGAUAAGGUGCUUGCCAACUACUUCCUGUUUGCACUCAAGCCUAAUGUUAUGUCAUGGUUGAUGCACUUGCCGAUGGAUUCCAUCUCUUCGUGGGCGGAUCUGUGCCAUGAGUUUGUUGGCGCCUUUACCGGAGGUCGCCAAGUUCAUGGCCAGGCGAGUGAUUUACAUGUCAUCCCCCAGAAGGAAGGAGAAAACUUGCGCAAGUACCUCCAAAGGUUCAGCCGCGUGCAGUACAACAUCCCCGAUGUUCAUCCCGCCGUCGUGAUCAGUGCGUUCCACUAGAAUGUUGAUACGUCUCCAACGUAUCUAUAAUUUUCGAUUGUUCCAUGCUAUUAUAUUACCCCUUUUGGAUGUUUAUGGGCUUUAUUUUACACAUUUAUAUCAUUUUUGGGACUAACCUACUAACCGGAGGCCCAACCCAUAUUGUUGUUUUUUGCCUAUUUCAGUAUUUCGAAGAAAAGGAAUAUCAAACGGAGUCCAAAUGGAAUGAAACCCUCGGGAGCGUUAUUUUUGGAACAAAUCUGAUCCGGACAGCUUGGAGUGCAAGUCAAGAAGCCUUCGAGGGCCCCAUGAGAUAGGAGGGAACCCCCCUGUAGGGCGCGCCCCCCUGUCUUGUGGGCCCCUCGGGCGGCCACCGACGUACUUCUUCCUCCUAUAUAUACCUACGUACCCCGAAAACAUCCAGGAGCACCACGAAACACAAUUUCCACCGUCGUAACCUUCUGUAUCCGCGAGAUCCCAUCUUGGAGCCCUUGUCGGCACUCUGCCGGAGGGGGAAGCAACCACCGAGGGCCUCUACAUCAACAUCCUUGCCCCUCCGAUGAGUUGUGAGUAGUUUACCACGGACCUACGGGUCCAUAGUUAUUAUCUAGAUGGCUUCUUCUCUCUUUUUGGAUCUCAAUACAAUGUUCUCCCCCUCUCUUGUGGAGAUCUAUUCGAUGUAAUCUCUUUUUGCGGUGUGUUUGUCGAGAUCCGAUGAAUUGUGGGUUUAUGAUCAAGUUUAUCUAUGAAUAAUAUUUGAAUCUUCUCUGAAUUCUUUUAUGUAUGAUUGAGUUAUCUUUGCAAGUCUCUUUGAAUUAUCAGUUUGGUUUGGCCUACUAGAUUGAUCUUUCUUGCCAUGGGAGAAGUGCUUAGCUUUGGGUUCAAUCUUGUGGUGUUCUUACCCAGUGACAGAAGGGGUUGCAAGACACGUAUUGUAUUGUUGCCAUCGAGGAUAACAAGAUGGGUUUUAUAUCAUAUUGCAUGUGUUUAUCCCUCUACAUCAUGUCAUCUUGCUUAAUGCGUUACUCUGUUACUUAAUACUCUAGAUGCAGGCAGGAGUCGGUCGAUGUGUGGAGUAAUAGUAGUAGAUGCAGCCAGGAGUCGGUCUACUUGUUAUGGACGUGAUGCCUAUAUACAUGAUCAUGCCUAGAUAAUCUCAUAACUAUGCGCUUUUCUAUCAAUUGCUCGACAGUAAUUUGUUCACCCAUCGUAAUACUUAUGCUAUCUUGAGAGAAGCCUCUAGUGAAACCUAUGGCCCCUGGGUCUAUCUCUUAUCAUAUUUGCUUUCAAUCUACUUUAUUUGCAUCUUUACUUUUUGCAUCUAUAUUAUAAAAUACCAAAAAUAUAUUUAUCUUAUCAUACUAUCUUUAUUAGAUCUCACUUUCGCAAGUGGCAGUGAAGGGAUUGACAACCCCUUUAUUGCGUUGGUUGCAAGUUCUCAGUUUGUUUUUGUAGGUGCGUGGGACUUUUGAGGAGCCUCCUACUGGAUUGAUACCUUGGUUCUCAAAACUGAGGGAAAUACUUACGCUACACUUUGCUGCAUCACCCUUUCCUCUUCGAGGAAAACCAACGCAAGCUCAAGACGCAGCAAGAAGGAUUUCUGGCGCCGUUGCCGGGGAGGUCUUCGCUCAAGUCAAGACAUACCAAGUACCCAUCACAAACUCAUCUCCCUCGCAUUUACAUUAUUUGCCAUUUGCCUCUCGUUUUCCUCUCCCCCACUUCACCCUUGCCGUUUUAUUCGCCCUCUCUUUCCCAAUCUCCUCCUCUCUUUUUGCUUGCCAUUUUCUGUUUGCUCGUGUGUUAGUUCGUUUACCUUGUCGUUAUGGCUAGUCCUCCUAUUUUUAUUCUCACUCCCGAACAGGAAAUUCACAAUUUUAAACAAAGGGAGAGGGAAAGUUUAAAAGAUGCUUGGCAUAGAAUUUGCAAUGCCCAAUAUAAAGCUACUAGGAAGCUUGUUACUUCUGUUCUUCUCCGCAAUUUUAUGUAGGCAUUACUCCUUGGAAUAGAUGUGUUCUUGAUAUUUCUACCGGAGGUGAUUUUAUGAGUAGCCAUACUUUUGAUGCUUAUAAUGCUAUGUUAGAUUUGUUUGGCCCACCACCUCUUUUGGUUAAUGGAACGGUUUUAACUCUAGAACAUGUGAUGCAACGGCUUGAUAUUAUUAAAAAUAAGAUUGCCACUGUUGAGUUGAUUCAUAAUCACAUUACCCAAUUUGGAUCUAGGGUUGGAGUUACUUUGAAUUUUUUUUUAAAGAAAAAGAACCUAUAGUCAAUGAAAAAAUAGAUCUAGAUUCUGCUAGAAUCGGUAAACUUGAGGAUAUCAUUACAAACUUAGGUUCCGCGUUUUCCCCCAAGAAAAACACUCCAAAACCCCCUACUAAAAUUGCCAAGUUUAUUUAUGUUCCUAAAAAUAAGGGUGAAUCUUCUAGGGGAGACGCAGAUCUCAAAUCUAUAAGUGUUCUUCCAAAUUGUGUCUCUAUCGUUAAAGAACCUUAUGCUACCAAUGAAUUUCUUGAAUUUUUGCCUAAAGGAUUAGCUAUUGCUAAAAGGGGAGAAAUCCCUAGAGAUCACAAGCGCUCUAUGGAUGAAUUUAGUGCCAAAGAUGGCACUCGUUAGAUCUAUCUUUGCUUUUUAUGCCUAGCUAGGGGCGUUAAACAAUAGCGCUAGUUGGGAGGCAACUCAAUUUUCUUUAUGUUUUUUGUUUUUGCUCCUGUUUAGUAAUAAAUCUUGCAUCUACCUUCUGUUUAGAUGUGUUUUUAUCUUUUAAUUAGUGUUUGUGCCAAGUAGAACCUAUAGGAUAACCUACGAUGAUAGUUGAUUUGAUUCUGCUGAAAAACAUAAACUUUGCGCGCACGAAUAUAAUUUUGUUAAUUCACAGGAAUGUGCUUUUGCAUUGAUUCUUUUUCUGCUGUUCAAUAUACAAAUUUUCCAGGACUUCCUAUUUUGGUAGGAUUUUUAGAGUUCCAGAAGUUUGCGUUAGUUACAUAUUGCUACAGACUGUUCUGUUUUUGACAGAUUCUGUUUUUCGUGUGUUGUUUGCUUAUUUCAAUGCAUCUAUGGCUAGUAAUUCAGUCUAUGAACCAUAAAGAAGUUGGAAUACAGUAGGUUUAACAACAAAAUAAAUAAAGAAUGAGUUCAUGGCAGUACCUUAUGUGGUGGUUUUGUUUUCUUUCACUAACGGAGCAUAUAAGAUUUCCUGUUGAGUUUUGUGUUGUGAAGUUUUCAAGUUUUCGGUAAAGCUUUUAUGGACUAUGGAAUAAGGAGUGGCAAGAGCCUAAACUUGGGGAUGCUCAUGGCACCCCAAGAUAUUCAAGGAUAGCCAAAAGCCUAAGCUUGGGGAUGCCCCGGGAAGGCACCCCCUCUUUCGUCUUCGUUCAUUGGUAACUUUACUUGGAGCUAUAUUUUUAUUUGCUACAUGAUAUGUGUUUUGCUUGGAGCAUCGUGUAUUACAUUAGUGUUUGCUUUUUAGUUUACCACAAUCAUCCUUUCUGUACACACCUUUUGGGAGAAGCCUAUUUGAUUAGAAUUUGCUAGAAUACUCUAUGUGCUUCACUUAUAUCUUUUGAGCUUGAUAGUUUUUGCUCUAGUGCUUCACUUAUAUCUUUUAGAGCACGGUGGUGUCUUAAUUUUGAAGAAAUUGCUAGUCUCUCAUGCUUCACUUAUAUUAUUUUGAGAGUCUUUUAGAACAGCAUGGUAUUUUGCUAUUAUCAUAAAGUUGGCCCUAGAAUGAUGAGCAUCCAAGUUGGGUAUAAUAAAAACUAUCAUAGAAAGUGAAUUGGAUGCUAUGAUUAAUUUGAUGCUUUAUAAUUGUUUUGAGAUAUGGAGGUAGUGAUAUUAAAGUCAUGCUAGUUGGGUGAUUAUGAAUUUAAAGAAUUCUUGUGUUCAAGCUUGUGAUUCCCGUAGCAUGCACGUAUGGUGAACCGCUUUGUGAUGAAGUUGGAGCACAAUUUUAUUUAUUGAUUGUCUUCCUUAUGAGUGGCGGUCGGGGACGAGUGAUGGUAUUUUCCUACCAAUCUAUCCCCCUAGGAGAAUGCGCGUAGUACUUUGGUUUUUGAUGACUUCUAUAUUUUUGCAACAAGUAUAUGAGUUCCUUUGAUUAAUGUUGAGUCCAUGGAUUAUACGCACUCUUUCACCCUUCCACCAUUGCUAGACUCUCUUGUAUCGUGCAAUUUUCGCCGAUACCUUACACCCACCUUUUACCUUCCUCAAAACAGCCACCAUACCUACCUAUUUAUGGCAUUUCCAUAGCCAUUCCGAGAUAUAUUUCCAUGAAAAUUUCCACCGUUCCGUUUAUAUGACACACAUUACUUUUGUCAUAUUGCUUUUUGCAUGACCAUGUAGUUGACAUCGUAUUUGUGGCAAGGCCACCUUCAUAAUUUUCAUACAUGUCGCUUUUGAUUCAUUGCAUAUCCCGGUACACCGCUGGAGGCAUUCAUAUAGAGUCAUAUCUUGUUCUCUCUUUGAGUUGUAAAUCCAUAAAAGUGUGAUGAUCUUCAUUAUUAGAGCAUUGUCCUAGUGAGGAAAGGAUGAUGAAGACUAUGAUUCCCCCACAAGUCGGGAUGAGACUUCGGACUUUACAAAAGAAAAAAAAAGAGAAAAAAAAAGAGUAAGGCCAAAAAGAAAAAAAGAGAAAGGCCAAAAAGAAAAAAAAAGAAAAAAGGAAAAAAAUAAAUAAAAAAAUGAGAGCAAAAGAGAGAAGGGACAAUGCUACUAUCUCUUUUUCCACACUUGUGCUUCAAAAUAGCACCAUGAUCUUCAUGAUAAGAGAGUCUCAUAUGUUGUCACUUUCAUAUACUAGUGAGAAUUUUUCAUUAUAGAACUUGGCUUGUAUAUUCCAAUGAUGGGCUUCCUCAAAAGUGCCCUAGGUCUUCGUGAGCAAGCAAGUUGGAUGCACCCCACUUAGUUUCUUUUGUCGAGCUUUCAUAUAUUUAUAGCUCUAGUGCAUCCGUUGCAUAGCAAUCCCUACUCACUCACAUUGAUAUCUAUUAAUGGGCAUCUCCAUAGCCCGUUGAUACGCCUAGUUGAUGUGAGACUAUCUUCUCCUUUUUUGUCUUCUCCACAACCACCCUUCUAUUCCACAUAUAGUGCUAUGUCCAUGGCUCACACUCAUGUAUUGCAUGAAAGUUGAAAAAGUUUGAGAUUAUUAAAGUAUUAAACAAUUGCUUGGCUUGUCAUCGGGGUUGUGCAUGAUUAAAUACUUUGUGUGAUGAAGAUAGGGCAUAGCCAGACUAUAUAAUUUUGUAGGGAUAACUUUCUUUAGCCAUGGUAUUUUGAGAAGACAUGAUUACUUUGAUUAGUAUGCUUGAAGUAUUACUAUUUCUUAUGUCAAUAUGAACUUUUAUUUUGUAUUCAUUUGGAUCUGAACAUUCAUGCCACAAUAAAGAAAAUUACAUUAUGAAUUAUGCUAGGUAGCAUUCCACAUCAAAAAUUUCUUUUUUAUCAUUUACCUACUCAAGGACGAGCAGGAACUAAGCUUGGGGAUGCUUGAUACGUCUCCAACGUAUCUAUAAUUUUUGAUUGUUCCAUGCUAUUAUAUUACCCCUUUUGGAUGUUUAUGGUAUUUAUUUUACACAUUUAUAUCAUUUUUGGGACUAACCUACUAACCGGAGGCCCAACCCAUAUUGUUGUUUUUUUGCCUAUUUCAGUAUUUCGAAGAAAAGGAAUAUCAAGCGGAGUCCAAAUGGAAUGAAACCUUCGGGAGCGUUAUUUUUGGAACAAAUCUGAUCCGGAGAGCUUGGAGUGCAAGUCAAGAAGCCUCCGAGGGCCCCACGAGAUAGGAGGGCGCCCCCCCUUGUAGGGCGCGCCCCCUUGUCUCGUGGGCCCCUCGGGCGGCCACCGACGUACUUCUUCCUCCUAUAUAUACCUACGUACCCCAAAAACAUCCAGGAGCACCACGAAACACAAUUUCCACCGCCGUAACCUUCUGUAUCCGCGAGAUCCCAUCUUGGAGCCCUUGCCGGCACUCUGCCGAAGGGGGAAGCAACCACGGAGGGCCUCUACAACAACAUCCUUACCCCUCCAAUGAGUUGUGAGUAGUUUACCACAGACCUACGGGUCCAUAGUUAUUAGCUAGAUGGCUUCUUCUCUCUUUUUGGAUCUCAAUACAAUGUUCUCCCCCUCUCUUGUGGAGAUCUAUUCGAUGUAAUCUCUUUUUGUGGUGUGUUUUUCAAGAUCCGAUGAAUUGUGGGUUUAUGAUCAAGUUUAUCUAUGAAUAAUAUUUGAAUCUUCUCUGAAUUCUUUUAUGUAUGAUUGAGUUAUCCUUGCAAGUCUCUUCGAAUUAUCAGUUUGGUUUGGCCUACUAGAUUGAUCUUUCUUGCCAUGGGAGAAGUGCUUAGCUUUGGGUUCAAUCUUGCGGUAUUCUUACCCAGUGACAGAAAGGGUUGCAAAACACGUAUUGUAUUGUUACCAUCGAUGAUAACAAGAUGGGGUUUAUAUAAUAUUGCAUGUGUUUAUCCCUCUAGAUCAUGUCAUCUUGCUUAAUGCAUUACUCUGUUCUUAUGAACUUAAUACUCUAGAUGCAGGCAGGAGUCUGUCGAUGUGUGGAGCAAUAGUAGUAGAUGCAGGCAGGAGUCAGUCUACUUGUUAUGGACAUGAUGCCUAUAUACAUGAUCAUGCCUAGAUAAUCUCAUAACUAUGCGCUUUUCUAUCAAUUGCUCGACAGUAAUUUGUUCACCCAUCGUAAUACUUAUGCUUCACUUGAGAGAAGCCUCUAGUGAAACCUAUGGCCCCCGGGUCUAUCUCUUAUCAUAUUUGCUUUCAAUCUAAUUUAUUUGCAUCUUUACUUUUUGCAUCUAUAUUAUAAAAUACCAAAAAUAUAUUUAUCUUAUCAUACUAUCUUUAUUAGAUCUCACUUUCGCAAGUGGCAGUGAAGGGAUUAACAACCCCUUUAUUGCGUUGGUUGCGAGUUCUCAGUUUGUUUGUGUAGGUGCGUGGGACUUUUGAGGAGCCUCCUACUGGAUUGAUACCUUGGUUCUCAAAACUGAGGGAAAUACUUACGCUACACUUUGCUGCAUCACCCUCUCCUCUUCGAGGAAAACCAACGCAAGCUCAAGACAUAGCAAAUGUGCGCAACCGCAAGAUGCGCGAAGAGCUGGCGAUGAACAAGGUCAAGGAUGUGGCCGAGCUUUAUGUUCUGGCCCGAUCGAUGCGCUCACGCUGAAGAGGGAAGGAAGUACCCCAGCGAAGAUGUCGGCGCGGAAACCGACUCCACUAGCGACACCGCCACCCCAGCGAAGAAGGGCCGACGCCGUAACAGGAAGCGCAAGGGCAAGGCCGUGCUUGCCGUCGAGGGAUCUGACGACAUCGGCGCCACCAAGAAGACCAAGGCGAGCGACCCCAGCAAGGAGGUUGCCGGGUGUGUCGCUUGCCGGGCCUUGGCGGCCGCCGACAAGCCAGGAGGCUCCGACAAGCAGUACUGCAAGAUCCACCGCACCCAGGGCCAUGACCUCCAAAACUGUCGGCAGGUAGAGCUGCUCGCCGAGAAGCAGAAAGCCGAGUAUGAGCGGCGGGACAAGGAGAAAGGCCUAGAUGGUGCCGAGGGAUCCGGCAAGAAACAUGGCGGCCAAGGAGGCCGUCGCGGCAAGGAUAAUCAGCAGGAGAGGCCCGCUCGAGGACGCGACAAGAAGCAGGAAGACGAUGAUCAUGACGAAGACGAUGAGUCCGGUGACCAUGAGUUUCAGAAAGCCACAGAGGCCAUGUGCGUCGAUGGUGGCGCCUCGCUGCAUACGUCCCACCGCCAACUCAAGCAGUGGGCGCGUGAGAUCACGGUGGUGGAGCCAUCGUUCGACACACGGAAGCCACUGAAAUGGUCCAGCACGCCCAUCAUCUUCGACACCGAGGACCACCUGACCGCACUACUGCGGUCGGGUGCUUGCCAUUGUUGGUUUCACCAACAAUCCGCAACCUCAAGGUGACAAAGAUGUUGGUUGACGGCGGGGCCGGCCUAAACUUGAUAUCGCCUGUUGUGGUCAAAAGGCUAGAGAUCCCUGAUGGAGACCUCAAGGAAAUGGGCACGUUCCAAGGGGUUAACCCGGGGAGGAGCCAGCCAAAGGGAAAAGUCAUGCUGCCCGUGACAUUCAGAGGCGAGCUGAACCACAGGGCGGAAAGGCUUGUUUUCGAUGUAGCCGAGAUCCCCUUGCCUUACAACGGGAUCCUCGGCCGCCCGGCACUAGCCAAGUUCAUGGCGGCUUCACACUACGCGUACAACAUGCUGAAGAUGCCCGGGCCGAUGAACAUCAUCACCAUCCCCUCCGACAAGAAAGAUGCGCUGAUCUACGCCGACCAACUCUACCGAGAAGCAGUUGCAGCAGCUGCCUCUAAGGCACCUGCUCCUACCGACGGAGCGGGGAAGAAGACCGGCGAGACCCCUCGCACCCACUCCGGCAAGCGCACCUCUUCGGGGUGUUGCGCUCCCGUUGAGGACGUGCCAGAGAGCUCCGCCGGCAAGAGCAAGAAGUCCAGUGCCACACCACCAGCGACCAAGAAGGUGCCCGUCAAGGAGGACGGCACGGGGGGAGCUUUUACCAUAGGCUCCACCCUCGACGGCAAAUAGGAAAGUGAGCUCGUCACCUUCCUGCGGGAGAAUGUCGAUGUGUUUGCAUGGCAAGCCUCCGACAUCCCCGGCGUUCCCAGGGAGGUGAUUGAGCACCACCUUGCUGUCUGUCCUCAUGCGUGGCCCGUCAAGCAGAAGGUCAGGAACCAAGCUCUAGAGAGGCAGGAGUUCAUCACGGAAGAAAUCAGAAAGCUAGAGGCGGCGGGCUUGGUGAGAGGAGUACUCCAUCCGACGUGGUUGGCCAAUCCGGUAGUAGUGCGCAAGGCGAAUGGGAAGUGGAGGCUGUGUAUUGAUUACAUAGACAUCAAUAAGGCCUGUCCAAAGGAUCCCUUCCCGUUGUCGUGCAUCGACCAGAUUGUUGACUCCACGGCUGGGUGUGACCUGUUAUGAUUCCUCGACGCCUACUCAGGGUACCACCAGAUCUUCAUGACGAAAGAGGACGAGGAAAAUACAACAUUCAUCACCCCAUGUGGUACGCACUGCUUUUUAUGGAUGUCUUUUGGGUUGAAGAGUGCUGGCUCAAUCUUUGCAAGAGCGGUCCAAAUUGGUUUUGAACCCCGGCUACAUAGAAAUAUGGAAGCUUAUAUGGAUGAUAUAGUGGUCAAAACCAAGGAUAAAGCUACACUUGUGCCAGAUCUGGAGGAAACAUUCGGAAACCUGCGCAAGAUCAACCUCAAGUUAAACCCUGAGAAGUGUCUCUUCGGUGUCCCGUCCGGCAAGCUUCUCGGGUUCUUUGUGUCGCAGCGCGGGAUUGAGGCAAACCCAGACAAGAUUAGGGCCAUCAAGCAGAUUGAGGCGCCCAAACGGAUCAAGGACAUGCGUCGGCUCACUGGCUGCGUUGCCGCCAUGAGCAGAUUCAUCUCCAAAUCCGCGGAGUGUGCCCUCCCCUCUUUCAAGAUCUUAAAGAAGACGGGCCCAGUGGAGUGGACCCCAGUGGCCGAGGCGGCGUUGCAAGACUUGAAGAAGUACCUCUCCUCUGCCCCGGUGUUGGUUGCGCCCAAACUACAAGAAUCGUUGCUGCUAUAUCUAGCGGCAACAAACCAAGUGGUUAGCGCCGCAUUGGUGGUGCAGAGAGAGGUCGACAAGGAGACAGCAGCAGCGGCAGAGUCAACGGUUGGCGGGCUAGAACCUCCCCGACAGGGCUCAAUCCCGGCAAGACUGAGUCCCUGGUAGGGCCCGGUCCCGGCAAGACUAGCACCAGUACGACAGGACCCGCACGGCCAGGUGGAGUGGCACAAAGGAAGAAGAUGGUGCAGCACCCGGUUUACUUCGUCAGCUCCCUCUUGCAGGGAGCUAGGUCGAGGUAUUCAGGUGUGCAAAAAUUGCUCUUCGGCCUCCUUAUGGCCUCGAGGAAGCUGCGCCACUACUUCCAAGCGCACGAGAUCACCGUGGUUACCCGCCUUCCGCUGUAACGGAUACUGCAUAACCCAGAUGCAACAGGAAGGAUCGUAGAAUGGUCCCUGGAGCUGUCAAGUUUUGGUCUAAAGUUUGAAAGUACCUAGACGAUCCAGAGCAGAGUCUUGGUGGAGUUUGUGGCAGAAUGGACCUCGACGCCUGACAAAGAGGUACAGGAGACUACUCUCCCCGGCGAGGAAACAAGCGGCAACUGGAUCAUGUACUUUGAUGGGGCCUUUUCGCUGCAAGGCGCCGGUGCUGGUGUGCUGCUUGUCGCACACACCGGAGAGCACCUCAAGUACGUCAUCCAAAUGCACUUUCCCCGGGAGAUGUCAACCAACAACACCGCCGAGUAUGAGGGUUUGCUUGCCGGUCUCAGGAUCACGGCGGACCUCGGAGUUAAAAAGCUCAUCGUCAAGGGCGACUCGCAACUCGUCGUCAAGCAGGAACAAAGAUUAUCAAAGCCCAUUGAUGGAAGCUUACGUAGAUGAGGUGAGGAAACUGGAGGAGCGCUUUGACGGUAUACAAGCGGAGCAUGUCCCUCGGACGGAGAACGACAUCGCUGACUACCUAUCAAAGCAUGCUGCCCUCAAGCUACCUAUGAACCAGGUACUUCUUUGCUUCAGUUAACUCAACCAUCCGUUGAGCCGUCGACCGAGCAGAACAAGCGGAGGAAGCUAGGCUCCGGCAAGUACUUCCCCACCGAGCUCCCCGGAGCCGCUAGCGAAGAUGUUGCCGUGGAUGCCGAUCCCGCCAAGGGACAACCAACUCCGGCAGGACCUCAGGUCAUGGCCGUGGAGACGGCCGCUCCCAUGGCAGAAGAGAUGCCUUUGGUCCUUGUCGUCGAGCCACAGGCUCCGGCAUGGGCACAGCACACCGUCCGAUUCCUUUAAAAAGGAGAGCUUCCUGAGGAGCAGGAAGAGGCAGAAAGAGUAGCCCGCCGGUCUGCUCUGUACCAAUUCGUUGAUAACGUAUUGUACAGAAAAAGACCGAAUGGGGUGAAAUUGAAGUGCAUCUCCCGGGAAGAAGGAAUAAAGCUGUUGGCAGAGAUACAUGGGGGCAUAUAUGGCUCCCACAUAGGGUCGAGGGCCCUUGCCGGCAAGGCUUUCCGGCAAGGUUUCUUCUGGCCCACCGCCCUCCAGGAUGCGAUGACACUAGUAACCAAGUGUGAAGCGUGCCAGUUCCAUUCGAAGAAGCUUCAUCAACCAGCUCAAGCCCUUCAAACUAUCCCUCUCUCCUAGCCCUUCUCGGUUUGGGGGGUCGACAUAUUGGGCCCCUUCCCCCGUGCUGUCGGGGGCUUUGAGUACUUGUACGUCGCAAUCGACAAGUUAACAAAAUGGCUAGAAGUGGAAGCAGUGAGGAAGGUGACGACGCAGUCAGCCAUCAAGUUCUUCAAGGGACUAGUGUGCCGUUUUGGGAUACCCAACAGGAUCAUCACCGACAAUGGCACACAGUUCACAAGCCACGCCUUCAUGCAAUACAUUGAGGAUCUCGGCAGCAGGGUCUGUUUUUCCUCCAUGGCACAUCCACGGAGCAACGGCCAAGCUGAGAGAGAAAAUGCUGAAGUCCUGCGAGGCUUAAGAACGAAGAUUUUUGACAGGCUGCGCGAAAGUGGAAGACGUUGGAUUGAUGAGUUGCCGAUGGUUCUUUGGUCGAUCAGAACGACGCCAAAUCGAGCCACCGGCCAGACACCCUUUGCCCUGGUCUACGGGGCAGAAGCAGUUCUCCCCACGGAACUCAUAUACGGGUCACCUCGAGUGCUCGCUUAUGAUGAGCUUGAGCAAGAGCGAUUGCAGCAAGAUGACACAACGCUCCUUGAGGAAGAUCGUCUCCAGGAAGCUGUGAGAGCAGCACGCUACCAUAAAGCCUUGCGCUGCUACCAUAGCCGCAAGGUCCAUGCCCGGAGCCUUGAGGAAGGCAACCUUGUUCUUCGGCAUGUUCAGUCGGCCAAGAAUUCCAACAAGUUGACGCCAAAAUGGGAAGGCCCUUAUCAGGUAACACGAAUCUCCAGGCCCGGCGCAGUCUGCCUGGAGACCGAAGAUGCCGUUCCAGUGAGUAACUCCUGGAACAUCGAGCAUCUUCGCAAGUUUUACCCAUAAGGCACGGCUGUCGGGCCUCCUGGCAAGCCACCUUUUUGUACAAGCCUUGCCGGCAAGGCAUGUAACCCUUUGUACAAAGCCAGGCGCAGACCCUAAGCACUAUGAAAAUGAAGCGCUGGCGCCCUAAGUUAUAGCGUGCAUGCUAGGUCGAGUCUCCUCCUCGGUUAGGGUUGAUAGUGCUAGGCAGCGGCUAACCUCUAGCUUAGAGGUUGAGUGUGCAUCUCUCUGUUUCUUCCCUGUCCUUUUUAAUUCGCAGGACACGUAAGUAUUUCUGCCAAGCUGUUUGGAAGAGAGGAACGGACCGGUGCCCCGACCCCGGCAAGCCAAGGUUGCCGGGGGAUGCAAAUACAAGGAUCCGUCCAUGGUAAGCCAAGGUUGCUGGGGGCUGCAAAUCCAGAUAAGUCUUUUAUCCUCUAUCAUGCAUUUCGUUAUGAACUGGGGUAUGUGGAACCGCGUUUUAUAUCCAAGCUACCAUGCUCCCCUCUUUCCGAACCCAAGGAUUAUCCCCUGGGUCUGAAUUUGGUCGUAGUCGCGGCAGCAAGGGGAUAGAACGUGGAGCCCAAACUCAUCUCAUCCUUGCCUCGCCAAGAACAUGAGAAAGGUCGAGCGAGAUGGGGGAACGGCGAGGCCUGUUGCCGAGCGAAAAACGUUUACUUUAGAUGGCAACAAGGAUUCGAUCCUUGCCGUGGGUUUCACCCACGAACGAAAAGCCCGGCAAACAUCCCUUUUUCAUUAAAAACAUCCCGUACAGGUACAGUUCAUACGGAAUGAAAAACAUGAACAGGGGGAUUACAAGUUCUAAAUUCAACAAAGGCCCGAAGGCUUACAGGACUAAAAAGAGAUAAGGUGCCCGUAAUCCCUUUCUUCUCCCUUUCCUCGGGAAAUGGAGCAAGAAGGCAAAAGGGCAAAAGGGGCGCCUAGGCGAAGCACGAGCAGCAAAAGGCACCAGGAGAACAUCCCGGUGGCCACCCCAAAGGGAGGCUAGUGAUGAUGAUGACGGUAGAAGAGCUGGAAGACGAGGCGGCAGGACUGUGAAUACGCUACGAAGGCGUCGGUGCCCGCGUACUCUGACUUGACGGCCUUGCUGCCCGCCCUCUUCCUCUAACACAGCCUCCCCACGCCAGCCGCCCAAGGAGGCGACCCCGAGAAGUUCAAGGAGCCGGCAACACGGGUGAUGGGGUCGCCGGUUCCAUCCGGAGCGGCGGCCGACACCUAGUCGGGCUCGUCAUCCUACCGCCCGCUACCCUCGUCGUCGCUGCCGCUGUCCUCCUCGUCACCCUCGCUCGAGGAGGAAUUUUCAUCGUCGGAGGAGCUCUCCACGCAGCACCUUACGCGAGUCCCGAAGUGCCCGAAGAUCUUGACGGAGAGGAGGCCACCCUCCAUUAAUUUAAAAUGGAGAGUGAGCCCCUCCAUCAAGCUAUGGACGCGGGUGAAGGUCUUCCACCCUCGACGGAGGUACAUGACGUGAGGGGCGGGAAACUCAACAUCGGCCCAUAUGCCGCUGUUCCCACAACCCCUCAUAUGCAACCGCAACGCCUGCGGUGGAUCCACCUCCAUCUCCCGCGCAAACGGAGUCGGGAGGCAAAGACGACGGCGCGGUGGCUGGCGCAGCCUGAUGAAGAACUCACAAGGGUUGUCCCCGACGUGGCCCUCUACCGGAGGAGGGGCCGCUGGCGGAGGCGAAGCCGAUCUGCCGCCCUGUUCUCCUCUCUCUCGAGCGCCACGGCAGCCUCGACCUCGCCCCCUCCCCCUCCCUCUAACAGGCGGCUCCGCCACCACGAGCUCUGGGGGAGGAGCAAUGCAUUGUCGAGCCGAGACCCUCGCUGCCACCGAUGAAGCGUCGCCACGCCCCCUCGCCAUGGCAGAAGAAAGGAGGAAGGAGGAAUGGGGAGAGGCAGAUGGCGAAGGGUUGAGAGGCACCGCUCCUCCCGCUCCCCUCUUUAUAAAGGGGCGGGGCGAGGCUCGACCGCCCCCUUUUGGCCAAUCCGGCCCGUUGAAGUGACAGCAAGCUGGGCCUUUGACCGCCCUCCCUGCUCCAUUGAAGGCGCGUGUGAAUCGACCCACGCACGCGCAUGACUUCCCACAUCCUGCGCGCCUGUCAUUCACCCUGCAUCGUGCAUGCAGCGAACGUGGCGCAAGGGAUAGGCGCAGUGGGACGCGUGGAGCGACGGUUCCCAAACGAGGGCAGUAAAUGAGCAGCAACCCUGCGGUCUCAAAGAGACACACAAGCCGCCUCUUUACUGUCCACCAUGGGAUGACGCCAGCAUGCUUCCUUCAUGCACGCGUCCGACCCCCACGUCGUGCGUUCAAUGCGGGUCGUAGGGAAGCUCAGCGGACGGAACAGUUACCGCCGUAAAAAUCAACCCCAACUGCCCGCGCACCAUUCUGGGCCUGGCCCAAUAAUGUGUUGCGUUUAUGCAUGGCCCGGGCCCGGGGGCUCCUGUCGAUGUACCAAAGUAGGGCCUCUCCUUUUGACCCCUUUACUUGUGCACGGGCAGUCAGAGCCACCCGCCACGGCCACGCAUAACAGGGCAGGAAAGGGAAGCCGGAGAGAAGCCGAAGGCACAAGGCAAACUAAGCAACGACAAGGACCAAGGCCACAAAGAUCAGAUGGAUGAAGCAGGUUUCCCCGGCAAAGAGCCUUGCUGGGGCAGCCUCAGCGGCCCCGGCAAGACCCUUGCCGGGGCAGCUCGCCCACACCAGCUGAGCGAGCCACCUUUGAGCCCACCAACACUAGACAAAUGCAUUGGGACAGGGCUCGGGAGGCACCUCCGUGGUGGCAUGCAGAUCUUUGUGAAGACAAAGAAUAGUCAAGAUCAAAUGAGGAUAGGAAGGCAACAAUCCUCGGCAGGGUUCUUACCGAGGAAGCCCACGAGACCCCGGCAAGGUCCUUGCCGGGGAUGACGGCGUGCCGCGGCAAGACCCUUGCCGGGCCUCCCGGCAAGGCCCUCGCCAAGCGCGCCAGCAGGGCCACUGCCAGGCCCACACCAGCCAAGUCUCCGCCGCCGUUCGCAUGCAGCUACCAACCCAACCAGCUGGGCAGGCACCUGCGUGGCGACAUGCAGCCCUUCGUGGAGGCUCCACCAUCGCACCACCUCAGCUGCCUGCCUGCCUACAUGGCACCACAUGCAUCGCUGGCCAGGGCGCGUGUCAAAGCAAGGAGGAGCGGCGACGGACGGGACGGGCCUCGCUCCCGUCCCCGAUAAAGUGAAGGGACACCUAAGCCUCACAUUAAAUGCACUUUGUCCUGUAAUACCAGUGAUAAGCUCACAGCGCUGUAGCACUUUCCACCUCCUGUGUGCCACUAUGCCAGCCCCUUUCGCCUAUAAAAGGAGGCCCAUGGCGCACUGGAGAGGGAUUCGGCUCUUUCGAACUUGGCAACACCCAGAGCUAGUUCAAGAGCUCAAGUACACUAAAUACAUCCACCAAAGCAGGAUCGUAGGGUUUUACGCAUCUUUGCGGCCCGAACCUAGGUAAAUCCCCUUUGUGCUGUCUACUAGUCCCGCUCUACUCACGAUCCCCGCACCCCGCAACCGUAGUAGGGAUUCCAGUGAUCCCAUAGGUGUCGUUUCCCGCCGACACCGAAGAUGAUCGACGGGCUACACGCAGAGUGCGGAGGCGCUAUAAUAAGCAAAGGUGUCGACGCCCUAUGGCCAAAGGGUUCCUUCCCGGAGGUGUCCGACUUAUGGCAACGGGAGUGGUUCUACAUCACAGCACCCCGAGGUACAAAGCGGGCAGUCGCCCCAGCCUUCCGCUCGGGACCUCCGCCCCAACUGGCAUCAUGGGUCAACAAAGGGUUGGACUAAGGGUCAGUUAAUGACGUGCUGACAUUGCAAAGCCGCAUUUGAGAUCUCCUCAAGAGGGAUGUCAGUCUCGUCAAAAUAAUUCAAGUAAUGCUAGUUCGUCGGGUCCUGCCAUGCCAACGUCUAUCUCUUCGUAUGUGGGAAUUCAAUCCGGAAAGACCGCAAACUGUUCAAAACUUCUUCGUCGUGACGCUCGAAGGGAUGUAUCGACUAUUCUUUGGAUCACGAAUAAAGUGUCCGGACACCACCGAGGAUGCGGAUCUGAACUGCAACUAUCCAGAUACCCAAGUAAGUAACUCCGCGACCGAACAUGAUGUCUUUAUAUUUUUCACAACAUUAUUCUAAAAAACUACCCUCGGCCAGGACUGGAUAAGAAAGGCAGAGAGGAUCAGGUGUUCGGUCCCUCUUCCUGAAGGCUCGCCGGAUCCUUUACUAACCAGGAUGCUGGCUUGUGCACCCUAUCAAGUGCCAUCAGGAGAAGGUGAGGGGAGGAAUAGAGAAGCCGAAAGCGGGCUUCAUACAUUACACAUCCAAACUGAGGGAAUUAGUGCCUCCGUGAAGGAGGGUGAUCAGGAAGGUGAAUCUAAAAUCCCCUCUCCCCACGGGAAGAAAGGGACCGCCUCUGAAGACUUGGAAACGGAGGUUUCCAAAUGAGGGAAGAAUCCUUCGCCAGGGGGCCCUGCCUCGGAGGGCGUCCUUACCGUACAACGCCCCCAAGGGGGCCAGCCAUCAACCGAGCCGUAAGUGAACAAAGGCACUUUGGUAAAUAUAUCCUGCUUUUUCUCUGAGAAUAACAACCGAGACAUAUGUUUUGUAGUCCGGCUCAUAGCCCUUCUCAACAAAGUUUGUCUUCGGGGGAUCUUCUUCCGGAGAUGAUGGAGAGCAAAACGCCUCCCCCCGCUUCCCCGCCUCGUGAGACGGACAACCCUGAGGUGUCGUCGUGGAGGAUUUCUCCUGAUCCGCAAAGGCUAGAAGGUAACUCUUCAGCCGCCCGAAGUCCAGGGUUUUCGGCUCCUAAGGAGACCAACAGAAAAAAGCCCGGGACUAUCCGGUGUACAACCAGACACAUUGAUGGAUCUUUUGGAGCAAGCGGCUAUCUUAGAGACACAUCGUACCUUAAUGGGUACGGUGGUUGAGAGGAUCUCCUCCGCCAAAAGCGGGUUGAAUGAAGCUUUUACGAGCCUACUAAGAGGCUUUGAGGUACGCAAAGUAAUAUAUAUAUAUAUAUAUAUUUGACUGUACCGCACAUGCUAGGUGUGCUCUGUAUAGAUAGUAGCCUCUGAGACUCUGGUUACUGUCCAGAGGUGGCAAGCGGAGGAUCAUAGUCUCAGGUAAUAAUAGCACUAUUUUUCUGCGCAGGCGGCUGCAGAUCUGGUGACUGGCCAAACUACUAAUUUUGCCGAAUUGAGACGGCAGCUUGACGUGGCGGAUGCGGACAUCACGCUUGUGAACAAGCAGCUUGACGAGGCACAGGGUAUGUAUAUUUGGAUGGUCAGCAAAUGUUAAGAGGAGCAUGAUGCUAGUAUCUAUAACAUGCUUUGACUGCAGAUGGAGCUGCCGCCGUGGAGACCCUUCAGGCAGAACUUGCCGAUCCAAGGAACAAGCUAGGAGAAGCAAUGCGGCCGCCCUGAAGGCAGCCGAAGAGUUAAAUGCCGAACAGGCUGCUCAUCGCUAGAGCGAAGAUAAAAUAGCCAACAUGGCUCUUGAGCUGCAAAAUGCCGCCAGCCAAUAUGAGCUCCUCGAAAGGGAAAGCCAAGCGAAAACGGCUGACUUGAAGAAGGCCUUGGAAGCAGCCAAGGAAACGCACUCUGAAAUCAGAGCGGCGCGGGAGGAGCUUCGUCAAGCCGGAGAUAUUGCGGCUGGGAAGCCCUUCUUAUUGCGGACGAAGCUCGUCGAUCUGAAGUAUGCCCCUCUUGAUCAAUUGUGGAGUUCGGCAGACGCAUACUUGGAUUUAGCAAAGAGUGCUACUGAUGCGACGAAGUAUUUAAAAGAUUAGAAAGAUCAUGAGGUGGAAAGAUUGUUCUGGUCGCAAUUCAGUAAUCCAAGGCAUCCGCUGCUGUUGAAUAAGCAAAUGGCCGAGUGGGCCGAGCUCCAUCGGUUGUCCGGGCUUGCCAUGAAGUCUGUCGUGGAUCAUCUUUGGCUGAAGGAACCAAGUCCGGAUAGUUAUUUUGGUUUAGUGCAACGAUUUCUUCGUGUUGUGCCGCAUAUCGACACUGUCAAGAGGUCGGCGUGCAUAGAGGGUGCACGGAUGGCUCUUGCCCGUGUUAAGACAUAUUGGGCAAAGAUGGAGGCCACUGCUGUUGCAACCAGGGGUCCACUGUCAUGCCCAAUAUGCGAUACUAUCCUAAAGAGACUCGAAGGUCCCACCAAGGAUAGAACCGCAUAUUGAUACGCUUUUGCAAAGUGGAUAUCAUUACAUCAACAUUACAUAAUAGAUGGGGAUACAUACAAAAGGCAUACAAUGCCACACGAAUACAACAUCACAAUACAUGAGAACAACAUCCGACUAUGGAUGAAACAUAAAUAGAAACUCAAACGACAUCCACCCUGCUAGCCCAGGCUGCCGACCUGGAACCUAUCCCCUGAUCGAAGAAGAAGCAGAAGAAGAACUCCAAAACAAGCAAACAUCGCUCUCGCGUCAUGAUCAUCGCACAACCUGCAACUUCAACUGUUGUUGUAGUAAUCUGUGAGCCACGAGGACUCAGCAAUCCCAUUACCAUGGGUAUCAAGACUAGCAAAGCUUAAUGGGUAAGGAAGAGGUAAAGUGGUGAGGUUGCAGCAGCGACUAAGCAUAUAUGGUGGCUAACCAACACAAAUAAGAGCGAGAAGAGAGCAAGCGAAACGGUCGUGAAGCUAGCAAUGAUCAAGAGUUGAUCCUGGACUCCUACUUACGUCAAACAUAACACAGAAACCGUGUUCACUUCCCGGACUCCGCUGAAAAGAGACCAUCACGGCUACACACGCGGUUGAUGCAUUUUAAAUCGGAUCUGGUGUCAAGUUAUCUACAACCGGACAUUAACAAAUUCCCAUCUGCCACAUAACCGCGGGCACGGAUCUCGAAAGUUUAUACCCUGCAGGGGUGUCCCAACUUAGCCCAUGAUAAGCUCUCGCGAUCAACGAAGGAUAUACCUUCUCCCAGGAAGACCCGAUCAGUCUCGAAAUCCCGGUUUAUAAGACAUUUCGACAAUGGUAAAACAAGACCAGCAAAGCCGCCCGAUGUGCCGACAAAUCCCGAUAGGAGCUGCACAUAUCUCGUUCUCAGGGCACACCGGAUAAGCGAAGCAUACAGGUACCAACGUAACCCAAGUUGCGAAGGGACAGCUCGCACGAUGCUCUAGUUUGGACCAACACUCGGAGGAGCACUGGCCCGGGGGGUAAAUAAAGAUGACCCUCGGGCUCCGGAAACCCAAGGGAAAAAGGGCUAGGUGAGGCAAAUGGUAAAACCAAGGUUGGGCCUUGCUGGAGGAGUUUUAUUCAAAGCAAACUGUCAAGGGGGUCCCAUAAAUCACCCAACCGCGUAAGGAACACAAAAUCCGGGAACAUAACUCCGGUAUGACGGAAACUAGGGUGGCAAGAGUGGAACAAAACACCAGGCAUAAGGCCGAGUCUUCCACCCUUUACCAAGUGUAUAGAUGCAUUAAUUAAAUAAGAGAUAUUGUGAUAUCCCAACAUAAUCCUGUCCAUCAUGGGGCAAUCUUCAACUUCACCUGCAACUAACAACGCUAUAAGAGGGGCUGAGCAAAGCAGUAACAUAGCCAAGCAAUGUUUUGCUAGGACGGGUGAAAAGGUUAGAGGCUGACAUGGCAAUUUGGGAGGCUUGAAGAGCAAAAGAUAGGUAGCGCGGCAAAGCGAUAGAACGAAGCAACUAGCAUAGCAAUGAUAGUAGUGAGAUCCAGGGUAGCGGUCAUCUUGCCUGAAAUCCCGGUAGGAAGAAGAACGAGUCCAUGAAGAAGACGAACGGAUGAAGGCAAACCAAGCGUAGACGAACGAAUCCUCACGAUCGCAACGAAAUGGGAACUAUCGAGAAGAAGCACACAACAUGGUAAACACACCACACAUAGACAAGACAUGAUGCACAACAAGCAUGAUGCAUGACAAAGCUACAUGGAGCUACUCAUGACAAGAGAUGAUGCAAACAAGAGCAACACAUCAACACAAGUUUAAAUGUUGUCGGGAACAACAUAUGACAAAUCCGGUAAGUCCUCAUAUGCAAAUUUAGAAAUUGGUCCAGAACUGAACAAACAUUAAGUUGAUGUUGUUAAAUAGAAAGUUAAAGAGCAUCAAGAGGAUCUACACGAAAUUCUAGUCAAGUUACAUAUAAAGUUCAUUUAAAUCAGAGCUACGGUCUAGAAGAUAUGAGCAAAACAAGUCAAACAUGGCAUUGAUGCCAAAAGCAUACAAACACCAAGCAAACACCUCAAAACAAGGAUGCAACAUGAUAAUAUGAAUCUUCAUGCAAAAACAAGCAAGUUUCAUAUAGAGCACACUCAAAACAGAGCAACGUUCAACACAUACACUCUAUACAAGUUUAAAGGACAAGUUGUCCAAAACAGUAGCUAGGCAUCUAUAAAGCAUCAAAACAAUAUGCUACAGCACCCAAACAUAAGAACAAAAGGCAUGGGCAUGAAGUACACGUAAAGCAUGACAAAACAUGAACACUGAGCUAUCUCCAGAAAGGACAAGGACAUGCUCAAAAGGACAUGGCAAGAUUGCAAAUAAUAACAGUUUCAGACUUAGCAGAAAUAACAUCAGCUUGCAAUGUUUAGAGCUAUCAAACAACAUUCUACAGGAAUUUAACAUGGAAAACAAAGGAAUGGCAUGAAUCUAAUAAUUGCAUAUAACAAAAGUCCUUUACUGACCAUGAGCCAAAAAUGCACAUAAGAUAUGAUGGCACCCAUGUAAACAUAGCAAGUGAUAUGAUAGAUUCAGACAUGGCAGGAACAACAAUAAGUAGGCAUGUUGGUGAGCUUGUACAACUCACCACAUAGCAAUACAUGGCAUGGAAAGGUAACCAACAGUAAGAAGACAUGUUUAUGAAGCUAAGAAUGGCAAGACAAAGUUCAUAGGGUGCAUGUAUCACUAGCAAAACACAUGGAAAAACUGAACUUAAUGUUAACAGGCUGACAGCAACAUUAUUUAGCAAGUUUGGAGCAAGAUAACAACAUGUUACAAUAGGCUAUAAAUGCAACCAAGGGCAUGAAUGGAUAUAGCAUGACAUGUGUAACAAAACAUCCUUAGUGAACAUCUCCAGAUUAUGCAUGGAAUGACUUGUAGCAGCAAGUUAACAUAGCAUCAGGAUAUAGAAGAUUCAGACUAGCAAAACAGUAACAGCAAGUACCCUACUUAACAACCUCGAUGCACUCACUACAAGACUCACAAAAUACAUUGGUUGCACUGCAGUAAAUAUGGCAUGAUGUAUCACAAAACACAUGUUGAGCUCAUGCUCAUAGGAUGCACACACAAAAUGCAACGAAAAAGAUAAAUCAUCAAGUUCUGUUAACAGACAGCAGAUAACAUCACAUAGCAGUCUUGCAACGAUGAUUAGGGCAUCAAGAUGGACACAAACAAGCAUGGCAUAAUGGAAUUAAAUGAAGAGCACAUCAUGAUGAACAUUUUGAUAUAUUACACGCACAAAACGGAUCUCCGGAUGAGGAGUUAUGGCAUGAUGAACAGAGGCACAAAAUACUGCAGGGAUUCGGGACAGAGAAAAUCAACCUCCGGAAGAAGUCAACGGGACGAGGACGUGCGGGACGCAAUGAGGCCGUUUGGAUCGGAUCCCCGUGGAUCUCGUCCCACCUGGACGGAUCUGACCGGAUCCGACUCCGGCGAGGGCGGUCGGCUCCGGCGAGGUCGGUGGGCGGCGGAGGUGACAGAUCCGGCGAGGAGGGCGCGGGGAAGCUCCGGCGGGGACGCGGGACGGCGGCGGAGCUCGACGCUGGAGGCGCGCGAUGGCGCGGCGGAGGAGCCCAGCGAGGUGCUGGCCGGCGCACCGAGGCGAUGGCAGGUCGCCGGCGGCGGACAGCGGAAGGCGCGGGCNNNNNNNNNNNNNNNNNNNNNNNNNNNNNNNNNNNNNNNNNNNNNNNNNNNNNNNNNNNNNNNNNNNNNNNNNNNNNNNNNNNNNNNNNNNNNNNNNNNNNNNNNNNNNNNNNNNNNNNNNNNNNNNNNNNNNNNNNNNNNNNNNNNNNNNNNNNNNNNNNNNNNNNNNNNNNNNNNNNNNNNNNNNNNNNNNNNNNNNNNNNNNNNNNNNNNNNNNNNNNNNNNNNNNNNNNNNNNNNNNNNNNNNNNNNNNNNNNNNNNNNNNNNNNNNNNNNNNNNNNNNNNNNNNNNNNNNNNNNNNNNNNNNNNNNNNNNNNNNNNNNNNNNNNNNNNNNNNNNNNNNNNNNNNNNNNNNNNNNNNNNNNNNNNNNNNNNNNNNNNNNNNNNNNNNNNNNNNNNNNNNNNNNNNNNNNNNNNNNNNNNNNNNNNNNNNNNNNNNNNNNNNNNNNNNNNNNNNNNNNNNNNNNNNNNNNNNNNNNNNNNNNNNNNNNNNNNNNNNNNNNNNNNNNNNNNNNNNNNNNNNNNNNNNNNNNNNNNNNNNNNNNNNNNNNNNNNNNNNNNNNNNNNNNNNNNNNNGUGUCCGGCGGCGCGGAUAGGGUUUGAUCUAGGGUUAGGGUGGAUUUCAUCCGCGAAUUUGGAAGGGGAAGGGCUUAUUUAUAGGUAGAGGGAGCUAGGAGACUUCAAAUGAGGUGCGUUUUUCGCCCACACGAUCGUGAUCAAACGACCAAGAGCAAGGAGGGGGUUUGGAUGGGUUAUUGGGCCAUUUUGGAGGGGUGUUGGGCUGCACACAAAAGAGGCCUUUACGGUUCCCUGGUUAACCGUUGGAGUAUCAAACGACCUCCAAAUGGCACGAAACUUGAUAGGUGGUCUAACGGUGGUGUACCAAGACUGCUUGGCAAAUCCCGGUCCAUUCCGAGAAUGUUUAACACCCGCACACGAAAAGAGGUAAAAGGGGGCACCGGGGGACAUAGGAGUGUCGGAUUGCAAAACAGACAACGGGGAAAAUGCUCGGAUGCAUCAGAUGAACAUGUAUGCAAAAUGAGAUGCACAUGAUGACAUGAUAAAAUGCAACAGCUAGCAAAUGACAAGGCAAUGACGGCGAAUAACUGGGUGACACCUGGCGCAACGAAUCCGGGGCGUUACAACUCUCCUCUACUAACAAGAGAUCUCGUUCCGAGAUCUUAGGACCGAGACGGAAGGGAAAAGGGAUGAGGUGAAACAAGAACUCAAGAGAAGAAGCAAAGAAUCGAGAGCACUCGAGAAGAAGAAAAGAACGACGAGAAUGACGAGAAUCGCAAACUCACGGAAUCAGAUAGACUAUGAAACCACUCCGGUUAGAACGAGAUAAGAAACGAAUAAGACUGAAAGGAUUUAGGUAGCACUCCGGCUGAAACAUGGAGGAAUAGAACACAAGCUUGAGAGGAUGUAAUGAUACUUGAUGAAGACAUGACACAAAACCUCCGGAAAGAAUUGAAAGAGUUUAAUGAAAAGAACGGAGAAGAAAAUGACAACUUGUGCCACGAAUGAAAUUGAAAACAUCUUUGGAAGGAAAGUUUAAACGGAGUUGUUGAGAAAAUCAACAACGAAAAGAAUAAACUUGUUGUGGACUUAUAGGUAACAUCUCAAGUUCAUAAGGUGAUAAUCAGCCACAAAUGGAAAUGAUUUGAUAUCUGAGAAGAACGAAGAGAUGCAAAACUCCACUUCAAAAGAAUACGGAGAAUUAAUUACACUUCGAGACGCGAGAAGAAAAGAUACUUGAACUCCACCAACAAGAAUCUUGCUGAACACUUGACAGAAUGAAUUAAAUCAUGAAGAACUACCAUGAAGAUCUCCGGAACCAAAAGGAUGACGAGAUAAAAUUGAAGGAUGAAAGGGAUAAGAUUAAGCCUUGCAAUGAUUUGGAUGGAGCUUCGCAACGGAACAAGUGAGAAGCUUGGAACUCCGGAAAAGAAAAGAUGAAAACACUUGGAACUAGAAUUUAUUCAUCAAGAACAAACACCGAAGGAAAGGAUUACUCACUUGGAUGAAAUAAGAAUAAGAUUUAUUGUAUGCUUAUCCUUCAUCAAAUUAAAUUGAUGACAAGCAAUGGAUUUUGCAUAUUACUUAUUCUUGUUGAAGAUGAUUAAGGGGGGGUAUAUGGCGCAAAACUAGAGAAAGUCUUCAUGAACCACCGGUAGGAUUGAAAAGAAUGAAUGAAUUAACAUGAUAAUGAAGGAAAAAUAAUCUUGAACAAACCACCAUAAGAAUUCGAAAAUGAAUGAUGAAAGAGACUGAAUCAUCGGGAAGAAUUAGAAGAACCAAUAUGCUAGAGGGGAUUUAGAUGCAAAAGAACAAAGAGAUCACGAGUAGAUUAAAGAGCACUUGAACGAUGCACCGGGAUAAUUGGAUAACAGUAGCUGAAAAGUGAGGACAAAGAAUUCUUCUCGAAUGAUGGCCUCCGGUGAAAAGAAAUGGAAAAACAACUCCUGACAUACAUCGGAUGGUAAGAGAACAAUAUCUGACAAAUGGAAUAAUUCGAGAGGGUAGCAUGAAACUAGAACCAUGAAUCUUGGAGAGAACGGGCAAAAUUUAGGGGAAAACUCUUCUUCGGUCUUCAAAUGACGAAGGAAAACACCACCAAAAUUACUGAGAUACUCCGGGAGAAUGAAAAGCGAAGAGGUUGAGCCAACAAUGAAAAGAAUUUGAAAGAGAUCUUGGAGAAGGCAUGUGACUGAUGGGAUCCAUUCUUAUGUCACAAUUGAAAAGAAUUGAGAAAAACUCCGAGGGAAUUAGAAGAGUCAGGUAAGAUCCUGGGAAAAGACCUGUGGGUUAGAUCCCACUGAAGAGAUAACACCGUUGGAAAAGGAUUGUUGAACAGAUAGAUGAUGCACCGGAACAAUUGAAAUAUUUGAAUGAGGUGACAACCUCGAAUUAAUUCACACACAGACGAAUCUCCUGAGAUGUCUUCCGAACUCCGGAAUGAUUGAAUGGCGAGAGGCAAACGAUCAAGGAGAACACUUGAUCCAAGGAAAAUAAUAUGAUCAACCCAAAAACUUGAAUUGAGUGCACUGGAAAAAAAGGGAUGAAGAAUGACGAACGACAAGAGGAUCCAUCGGUUGAAAUAAUUGAGGGGAGACUGAAGAGACUCUGUAUGAAUGAAAAAUUGAUGCUCGAAAAAGACUCCGNNNNNNNNNNNNNNNNNNNNNNNNNNNNNNNNNNNNNNNNNNNNNNNNNNNNNNNNNNNNNNNNNNNNNNNNNNNNNNNNNNNNNNNNNNNNNNNNNNNNNNNNNNNNNNNNNNNNNNNNNNNNNNNNNNNNNNNNNNNNNNNNNNNNNNNNNNNNNNNNNNNNNNNNNNNNNNNNNNNNNNNNNNNNNNNNNNNNNNNNNNNNNNNNNNNNNNNNNNNNNNNNNNNNNNNNNNNNNNNNNNNNNNNNNNNNNNNNNNNNNNNNNNNNNNNNNNNNNNNNNNNNNNNNNNNNNNNNAGACUCCGGUUCCGGGAAGAAGAGGGUGGGAGGGCGGGAAAACAAAGGCAACUUGGAAGGGUAAAAACCCUAUGAAUAACUUGAAGAGAAAACACCGGUUGAAAUCAUUGAGGAAAGAAAGCAAAGACUUCACACGAGUAGGAUGGAUACUCGAUUAUGGACUCCGGCUCCGAGAAGAAAAAGGGGUGGGUGGGUGGGAAAAGAAGACAACUGAGGACUGAACUUGGCAACGAUGAAGAGGCUUGAGUCAACUUGACGAGAAAUGCACUGGAUGAAAAGAGAUGAGUACCAACGACCGAAAACCAACUGCGUGAUCCUAAAGAAAGUUCGAAGGGGAAGAGAGUAAUCCAAAACACCUACGUCAAGAUUCCUUACCAGAGCGACGAAGGGGCUGAGGAGUAAAAGGAAUUCCUACUCUCCAAUAUAUCUAAACUCCGAAAACAGUUUUCUUCUAGACUCAACAACGGCCAAACUACACGAUCAAUCAAGGGGGCUCCUAAGGUCGGUCGAGGCUCUGAUACCAACUUGUCACGCCAAAUAUGCGAUACUAUCUUAAAGAGACUCGAAGGUCCCACCAAGGAUAGAACCGCAUAUUGAUACGCUUUUGCAAGGUAGAUAUCAUUACAUCAACAUUACAUAAUAGAUGGGGAUACAUACAAAAGGCAUACAAUGCCACACGAAUACAACAUCACAAUACAUGAGAACAACAUCCGACUACGGAUGAAACAUAAAAAGAAACUCAAACGACAUCCAUCCUACUAGCCCAGGCUGCCGACUUGGAACCUAUCCCCUGAUCAAAGAAGAAGCAGAAGAAGAACUCCAAAACAAGCAAACAUCGCUCUCGCGUCAUGAUCAUCGCAUAACCUGCACCUGCAACUGUUGUUGUAGUAAUCUGUGAGCCACGAGGACUCAGAAAUCCCAUUACCAUGGGUAUCAAGACUAGCAAAGCUUAAUGGGUAAGGAAGAGGUAAAAUGGUGAGGUUGCAGCAGCGACUAAGCAUAUAUGGUGGCUAACCAACGCAAAUAAGAGCGAGAAGAGAGAAAGCGGAACGGUCGUGAAGCUAACAAUGAUCAAGAGGUGAUCCUGAACUCCUACUUAUGUCAAACAUAACACAGAAACCAUGUUCACUUCCCGGACUCCGCUGAAAAGAGACCAUCAUGGCUACACACGUGGUUGAUGCGUUUUAUAUCAGAUCUGGUGUCAAGUUAUCUACAACCGGACAUUAACAAAUUCCCAUCUGCCACAUAACCGCGGGAACGGCUCUCGAAAGUUUAUACCCUGCAGGGGUGUCCCAACUUAGCCAAUGAUAAGCUCUCGCGAUCAACGAAGGAUAUACCUUCUCCUAGGAAGACCCGAUCAGUCUCGGAAUCCCGGUUUACAAGACAUUUCGACAAUGGUAAAACAAGACCAGCAAAGCCGCCCGAUGUGCCGACAAAUCCCGAUAGGAGCUGCACAUAUCUCGUUCUCAGGGCACACCGGAUAAGCAAAGCGUACAGGUACCAACGUAACCCAAGUUGCUAAGGGACAGUCCCGCACGAUGCUCUAGUUUGGACCAACACUCGAAGGAGCACUGGCCCGGGGGGUAAAUAAAGAUGACCCCCGGGCUCCGGAAACCCAAGGGAAAAGGGGCUAGGUGAGGCAAAUGGUAAAACCAAGGUUGGGCCUUGCUGGAGGAGUUUUAUUCAAAGCGAACUGUCAAGGGGGUCCCAUAAAUCACCCAACCGCGUAAGGAACACAAAAUCCGGGAACAUAACUCCGGUAUGACGGAAACUAGGGUGGCAAGAGUGGAACAAAACACCGGGCAUAAGGCCGAGUCUUCCACCCUUUACCAAGUGUAUAGAUGCAUUAAUUAAAUAAGAGAUAUUGUGAUAUCCCAACAUAAUCCUGUCCAUCAUGGGGCAAUCUUCAACUUCACCUGCAACUAACAACGCUAUAAGAGGGGCUGAGCAAAGCAGUAACAUAGCCAAGCAAUGGUUUGCUAGGACGGGUGAAAAGGUUAGAGGCUGACAUGGCAAUUUGGGAGGCUUGAUGAGCAAAAGAUAGGUAGCGCGGCAAAGUGAUAGAAUGAAGCAACUAGCAUAGCAAUGAUAGUAGUGAGAUCCAGGGUAGCGGUCAUCUUGCCUGAAAUCCUGGUAGGAAGAAGAACGAGUCCAUGAAGAAGACGAACGGAUGAAGACAAACCAAGCGUAGACGAACGAAUCCUCACGAUCGCAACGAAACGGGAACUAUCGAGAAGAAGCACACAAUGUGGUAAACACACCACACAUAGACAAGACAUGAUGCACAACAAGCAUGAUGCAUGACAAAGCUACAUGGAGCUACUCAUGGCAAGAGAUGAUGCAAACAAGAGCAACACAUCAACGCAAGUUUAAAUGAGGCCGGGAACAACAUAUGACAAAUCCGGUAAGUCCUCAUAUGCAAAUUUAGAAAUUGGUCUAGAACUGAACAAACAUUGAGUUGACAUUGUUAAACAGCAAUUUAAAGAGCAUCAAGAGGAUCUACACGAAAUUCUAGUCAAGUUACAUAUAAAGUUCAUUUAAAUCAGAGCUACGGUCUAGAAGAUAUGAGCAAAACAAGUCAAACAUGGCAUUGAUGCCAAAAGCAUACAAACACCAAUCAAACACCUCAAAACAAGUAUGCAACAUGAUAAUAUGAAGCUUCAUGCAGAAACAAGCAAGUUUCAUAUAGAGCACACUCAAAACAGAGCAACGGUUCAACACAUACACUCUAUACAAGUUUAAAGGACAAGCUGUCCAAAACAGCAGCUAGGCAUCUUAGCAAGCAUCAAAACAAUAUGCUACAGCACCCCAACAUAAGAACAAAAGGCAUGGGCAUGAAGUACAGGUAAAUCAUGACAAAACAUGAACACUGAGCUAUCUCCAGAAAGGACUAGAACAUGCUCAAAAGGACAUGGCAAGAUUGCAAAUAAUAACAGUUUCAGACUUAGCAGAAAUAACAUCAGGUUGCAAUGUUUAGAGCUAUCAAACAACAUUCUACAGGAACUUAACAUGGAAAAAAGGCAUGGCAUGAAUCUAUUAAUUGCAUAUAACAAAAGUCCUUUACUGACCAUGAGCCAAAAAUGCACAGAAGAUAUGAUGGCUCCCAUGUAAACAUAGCAAAUGAUAUGACAGAUUCAGACAUGGCAGGAACAACAAUAAGUAGGCAUGUUGGUGAGCUUGUAAAACUCACCACAUAGCAAUAAAUGGCAUGGAAAGGUGACCAACAGUAAUAAGGCAUGUUUAUGAAGCUAAGCAUGGCAAUAGAAAGUUAAGAGGGUGCAUGGAUAACUAGCAAAACACAUGGAAAACUGAACUUAAUGUUAACAGGCUGAAAGCAACAUUAUUUAGCAAGUUUGGAGCAAGAUACCAACAUGUUACAGCAGGCUAUAAAUGCAACCAGGGGCAUGAAUGUAUAUAGCAUGACAUUGUGUAACAAUACAUCCUUAGUGAACAUCUCUAGAUUAUGCAUGGAAUGACUUGUAACAGCAGGUUAACAUAGCAUCAGGAUAUAGCAGAUUCAGACUAGCAAAACAGUAACAGCAAGUACCCUACUUAACAAGCUCGAUGCACUCACUACAAGACUCACAAAAAUACAUAGAUUGCACUACAGUAAAUAUGGCAUGAUGUAGCACAAAACACAUAUUGAGCACAUGCUCAUAGGAUGCACACACAAAAUGCAACGAAAAAGACAAAUCAUCAAGUUCUGUUAACAGACAGCAGAUAACAUCACAUAGCAGUCUUGCAACAAUGAUUAGGGCAUCAAGCUGGACUCAAACAAGCAUGGAAUAAUUGAAUAAAAUGAAGAUCACAUCUUGAUGAACAUUUUUGAUAUAUUACACACACAAAAUGGAUCUCCGGAUGAGGAGUUAUGGCAUGAUGAACAGAGGCACAAAAUACUGCAGGGAUUCGGGACAUGGAGAGAAAUCAACCUCUGGAAGAAGUCAACGGGACGAGGACGUGCAGGACGCAACGAGGCCGUUUGGAUUGGAUCCCGGUGGAUCUCAUCCCACCUGGACGGAUCUGACCGGAUCCGACUCCGGCAAGGGCGGCCGGCUCCGGCGAGGUCGGUGGGCGGCGGAGGCGACGGAUCCGGCGAGGAGGGCGCAAGGAAGCUCCCGCGGGGACGCAGAAUGGUGGCGGAGCUCGACGCUAGAGGCGCGCGACGGCGCGGCAAAGGAGCCAGGCGAGGUGCUGGCCGGUGCACCGAGGCGGCAGCAGGUCGCCGGCGGCGGGCGGCAGAAGGCGCGGGCGCGGGGUCGGGCUCCGGCAAGCCUCCGGUGGCCGGAGCUGCGACGUGCNNNNNNNNNNNNNNNNNNNNNNNNNNNNNNNNNNNNNNNNNNNNNNNNNNNNNNNNNNNNNNNNNNNNNNNNNNNNNNNNNNNNNNNNNNNNNNNNNNNNNNNNNNNNNNNNNNNNNNNNNNNNNNNNNNNNNNNNNNNNNNNNNNNNNNNNNNNNNNNNNNNNNNNNNNNNNNNNNNNNNNNNNNNNNNNNNNNNNNNNNNNNNNNNNNNNNNNNNNNNNNNNNNNNNNNNNNNNNNNNNNNNNNNNNNNNNNNNNNNNNNNNNNNNNNNNNNNNNNNNNNNNNNNNNNNNNNNNNNNNNNNNNNNNNNNNNNNNNNNNNNNNNNNNNNNNNNNNNNNNNNNNNNNNNNNNNNNNNNNNNNNNNNNNNNNNNNNNNNNNNNNNNNNNNNNNNNNNNNNNNNNNNNNNNNNNNNNNNNNNNNNNNNNNNNNNNNNNNNNNNNNNNNNNNNNNNNNNNNNNNNNNNNNNNNNNNNNNNNNNNNNNNNNNNNNNNNNNNNNNNNNNNNNNNNNNNNNNNNNNNNNNNNNNNNNNNNNNNNNNNNNNNNNNNNNNNNNNNNNNNNNNNNNNNNNNNNNNNNGAGGGCCGGAACUGGGCUCCUGUGGGCCCGCGGCAGCGCGGGGGCGGCGGGACAACGUGGCGGGUCCUGGUUUGCCGGUGGGCAGUGGCUGGACAUGUCCGUCGGUGGAAGAAGUGUCCGGCGGCGCGGAUAGGGUUUGAUCUAGGGUUAGGGGUGGAUUUCAUUCGCGAAUUUGGAAGAGGAAGGGCUUAUUUAUAGGUAGAGGGAGCUAGGAGACUCCAAAUGAGGUGCAGUUUUCGCCCACACAAUCGUGAUCGAACGACCGAGAGCAUGGAGGGGGUUUGGAUGGGUUAUUGGGCCGUUUUGGAGGGGUGUUGGGCUGCACACAAAAGAGGCCUUUACGGUUCCCCAGUUAACCGUUGGAGUAUCAAACGACCUCCAAAUGGCACGAAACUUGACAGACGGUCUACCGGUAGUGUACCAAGGUUGCUUGGCAAAUCAUGGUCCAUGGCGAGAAUGUUUAACACCCGCACACGAAAAGAGGUAAAAGGGGGCGCCGGCGGACAUAGGAGUGUCGGAUUGCAAAACGGACAACGGGGAAAAUGCUCGGAUGCAUGAGACGAACACGUAUGCAAAAUGAGAUGCACAUGAUGACAUGAUAAAAUGCAACACGCAAGCAAAUGACAUGGCAACGACGGCGAAUAACUGGGUGACACCUGGCGCAAUGAAUCCAGGGCGUUACAUCCGCCCGGGGGUCAGGACUCGCCCAAGCACUAUUUUGCAGAAGUCCUGGAAGGUGCCUGUUUAUAGAGGCUCAGUGCUCAAAGAGUACCAUGUUCCAGUGACAUAUAUUUUGAUUGUAAAAACAAUGCUUUUUGAUAAUAAAGGCUAUAUUAAUACUUUUGCCCAUAAAGUAUUGUAGUGCCUCCUGUGCGGCCGUUUAUGUAUGUAUAUAACCUGAAAGUUUGCAGUCUUCGGUUUCAGCCCCCAUGCAUAUAAUGCGGGGGUGUUCGGUAAAGCGCGUAAUCACACUUGAUCCAACGUCUUGGUCCAUUAAGGAGGUGAUAGCGCGGCGAACGAGGCAAUCGGAGUAUAUAGCUUUAACACUUUCACUUAGCCAUAGGAGUUUGACGGUGGGGCUACUAUAUAGCCCUUGGUAUGUCCGCGUUCGUCUGAAUACGGUGCGCGUACAUACUUGACCGAGAAACCGGUCCUUCGUUAAUGCGGAGGAAUCGCGAAGAUCCGAUGAGUCCUCGAGUGGUUGACCAGUCUCUCGCUUUAUCAUGACAGUCAGUUUUCGGCUUUCUCUACUAAGGUGCUCAUCCAGAUGAACUAGGGCACAAUCGCAGUAGUUCUCCCGGUGCCACCUUAGCCGAUAGAGCGGAACAUAAGGUAGCAAAACACGGGAGCCGGGCAAACCCAACUAUUGACCAAAGACAUGAUUCGGAGCUGAUGCAUAUAAGGCCAAACUCGCGACGCCGAACACUCGCGAAGGUAUUCAGACUUUAAAACAUAUACUGGGCUGAGUACCGCCCUCGAUAAUGAGCCCUGAAUAUCCAGGUACGUGCAUUAAUCAGGCGUGACGAAAUGCUAAUAACGCCAGUAUCCCUCUCGAUUGUUUUAAGUGCCCGGAGGGUGUGAAGCAACAAGAGACAAUAAAAAAAGGUUUACACAGGGUCUUAAUCUAAAAAGAAAUCUUUGAACGUGGCCCUGCUGCACGUCUGCGCCUUUGUCUCCGUUGUGCCAUAUCCUGGAAGGGUGUAGCACGAUGGUCAUCUGUAAAAAAGAAAAAAUCCAGGUGAAAGUAGCUGGUGUGACCAUUCAAAAAGUUGGUUAUUCUGAAUGAAUCAUGAGAAUUCACUCUAUUGUAUAUUAGUAGGGUCGAGCCAAACUAUAGACCCUUUUACAUGCGGGCAGUGCCUAGCACCACAUAUGGGGGCAUAUCCAUCGACCAAGCUCAGCUUUAUCUGGGCUGCUACAAUAGUGGUGCGCCGGACACAUCUAGCCGUGUUCAUGGUCUUGACGACCAAUCAUUUAUUCGGGUUGGGGAGGUCGUUCAGUGGUUUGGCUGCUAGAGCCGCCACAUAUUCUUCUGCACGCAAGGAACGCUCUGUAUUUCCGCUAAUUGUGAUGACGCCACGUGGACCGGGCAUCUUAAGUUUAAGAUAAGUGUAAUGCGGAACUACAUUGAAGCGAGUGAAGGUCGUUCUUCCGAGUAGUGCAUGGCAGCCGCUUCAGAAUGGAGCGAUGUCGAAGAUUAGUUCUUCGCUUCGUAAGUUGUCGGGCGAACCGAAUACAACCUCUAGUAUCAGAGAGCCUGUGCAGCGGGCCUCUACGCCUGGUAUUACCUCUUUAAAGGUGGUAUUGCUUAGGCUGAUUCUUGACGGUUCUAUCCCCAUCUUGCGGACAGUGUCCUGAUAUAUCAGAUUAAGACUACUGCCGCCGUCUAUGAGGACUCAGGUGAGAUGGUAUCCGUUAAUUAUUGGGUCGAGCACCAAGGCGGCCGAACCUCCAUGUCGGAUACUAGUCGGAUGAUCCCUGCGAUCGAAAGUGAUCGGGAAGGCCGACCAUGGGUUGGAUUUGGGGGCAACUAGUUCUACAGCGUAUACGUCUCGGAGUGCAUGUUUGCGCCUCCUCUUUGGGAUGUGGGUUGCGUAAAUCAUGUUCACUGUUUUGACCUCUGGUGGAAAAAAUUUAUGUCCCCCAGUGUUCGGCUGGUGAGGCUCGUCCUCGUCUUCAUUUGGCGUAUCCCUCCCUUUGUGUUCAGCAUUUAGCUUGCCGACCUGCUUCAAGACCCAGCAUUCUCUGUUGGUGUGAUUUGCAGGUUUCUCGGGGGUGCCAUGAAUCUGACAUAAUCUAUCUAGAAUUUUGUUUAGGCUGGACGGCGCAUCUCUGCUGCCUUUAAAUGGCUUUUUCUGUUGACCGGGUCGAGAGCCCCUGAAUCCGAUGUUUACCGCCGUGUUGUCUGGGUUGUCUUCGUUAUUUCGACGCUUCAUUUUAUUGCGUCGCGGCUUCCCAUUGCCGCCCUCAUUUCGUAUGUGCCUGGGUCGCUGGUGCCGCUGCGGGCCAACCAACUGUCUUCGCCCGCGCAAAAGCGGGUCAUAAGGCUUGUUAGGGCUGCCAUUGUCCUCGGCUUUUCCUGGCCGAGGUGUCUGGCGAGCCAUUCGUCCCGGACACUGUGCUUGAAGGCCGCUAAGGCUUCGGCAUCCGGGCAGUCGACGAUUUGAUUCUUCUUGGUGAGAAAUCUAUUCCAAAGCUUACGGGCUGACUCUCCGGGUUGUUGGAUUAUGUGACUUAAAUCGUCUGCAUCCGGAGGUCGGACAUAGGUCCCUUGAAAAUUAGCCCUGAAAGCAUCCUCAAGUUCUUCCCAACUUCCAAUUGAGUUUUCAUGGAGGCUUUUCAACCAGUGCCGAGCUGGUCCUUUCAACUUGACGGGCAGGUAUUUGAUGGCGUGGAGAUCGUCUCCGUGAGCCAUAUGGAUGUGAAGAAUAAAGUCCUCAAUCCACACUACAGGGUCUGUCGUUCUGUCGUAUGCCUCUAUGUUGACGGGUUUAAAUCCCUCUGGAAAUUCAUGAUCCAGCACCUCAUCGGUGAAGCACAGGGGGUGUGCAGCACCCCUGUAUUUGGAUGUGUCAUGGCAUGCUGCUGACUGUUGUAGUGUUCGGCGUUGAUUCUGAGCUGGUAUUCGAUUAGUAUAGUCGUUUUGGUGGUCGUGAUCAUGCACUGGAGCACGCUUCCUAGAUCCAUAGAUGGACCUGGCCAUAUCGGCUUUUUUGUCCAGGUGCUCACGUAAAUCGUGUGCUGACUUGUGUGCGGCGUCAUUAGCUGCCCUGUCGCGGCCAUGGGGUGGUCGGUCCGGCAGAUCGACCGUAUUAUUUUUCGGCGGAAUGGGCUCUACAGCCUCACCGUCGAAUUCGGGCAGCAGCUUGCGCUUUGGGUAGCUCUUUGUGUGGCAAUCGCCAUCGUAUUUUUCGUCAGUGUCAAGCACUUUGUUCCAUCUGUGGUUGAGCAUAUCUUGCGCGGCCUUAAGCCUUUGUUUCUGCUUCUUCAAGCUCCUCGCGGUGGCGAUAAGCCUUUUGUGGAGGUCUUCUUGUUCCAAGUGCUUUUCCGGGAUGAUGAGUGCAUCAUCGUCCGGACUGUUCUCCUUUCUGGAGACAGGUUUAUGAGUUUUAUUUUCAGCAUCGCUGUGAUAGGACAGCGGCCCCGUACUAUGUUCGCUGUCCCCUAGCUCAUCCUGCUCCAUUGCUGGGUCCAUGGGGUCAUCAUUACUUUUGGAGUCGACCAGGGUAUUAUUCUUUCUUGUGUCAUUAUCACUGUUUUUGCUGUGGCGGGAUUUAGAGUGGCCCCGACGCCGGCGCUUUGGUUGCUUCUCAAGAGGAUUAUCCUCCGUUGCAUCCCUCUGUUCUUCGCCAUUGUGUAAUUUGGGUGUGUCCACAAUGUAUAUAUCAUAUGAUGAGGUGGUUGUCCAGCGCCCUUUGGGCGGUGGUUCCUGUUCUUCUCCGGCAUCGUCGUCCAUACUGUCGAUGUCUUCGGAGUCAAAAUCAAGCAUGUCGGUUGAGUCGUCGAUAGUGGCUAUUAAGUGGGUGGUGGGUGGGGAACGAAUUUCUUCGUCGUCCGCUUUCCACUCAAGCCGGACAUAGUUCGGCCAAGAGUCUCCUGAUAGGGUUCGAGAUUUCAGUGAAUUUAGCACGUCGCCCAAGGGCAAGUUCUGAAAGAUAUCCGUGGAGGUAAACUCCAUGAUUGGUGCCUCAUCAGAUUCGAUAGGCACGGAUGCACGCGGUUCAGAGCCUAUGGCCGGAGACGAGUCCGCGGGUCCGAUGUCACAGACCUCAUUGGAGGCGAAGUCUGUGUUCGGCUCUAUUGUCGAUGAGUGUACGGCCUCCGUGGCGGGGUCUAUCCACCCGUCCUCGGAUGGCAUGAUCUGCUCAGGAUCUAAGGCCAAGGCAGCUGCAGGUGCGUUCUCCUGAACACCGUCUAAUGGCAGAUCUAAAUCAUGCUCAUCGUGACUAUACGGCACACCUGUCAUGGGCCCGAAUCCAUCGAAGAUCAAGUCUCCGCGGAUGUUGGCAGUGUAGUUCAGGCUUCUAAACCCGACCUGAUGGCCAGGGGCGUAGCUAUUGAUUUGCUCCAGGUGGCCAAGCAAAUUGGCCCGCAGUACGAAGCCGCCGAAUACGAAGACCUGUCUAGGGAGGAAAACCUCACCCUGGAUCGCAUCGUUAUCGAUGAUUGAAGGAGCCAUCAAGCCUUAUGGUGACGACGCAGUGGAACUCUCAAUGAAAGCACCAAUGUCGGUGUCAAAACCGGCGGAUCUCGGGUAGGGGGUCCCGAACUGUGCGUCUAAGGCUAAUGGUAACAGGAGGUGGGGGAUACAAUGUUUACCCAGGUUCGGGCCCUCUCGAUAGAGGUAAUACCCUACUUCCUGCUUAAUUGAUCUUGAUGAUAUGAGUAUUAUAAGAGUUGAUCUACCAUGAGAUCGUAGAGGCUAAACCCUAGAACCUAGCCUAUGAUUAUGAUUGUUGUUGUCCUACGGACUAAACCCUUCGGUUUAUAUAGACACCGGAGGGGCUAGGGUUACACAGAGUCGGUUACAAAGAAGGAAAUCUACAUAUCCGAAUCGCCAAGCUUGCCUUCCACGCAAAGGAGAGUCCCACCCGGACACGGGACGAAGUCUUCAAUCUUGUAUCUUCAUAGUCCAACAGUCCGGCACAAGUACAUAGUCUGGCUGUCCGAGGACCCCCUAAUCCAGGACUCCCUCAGC